GGUUCCCGGAAAAUGCUAAGGAAAGGAAAAAAAAUACAAGGGAAAAUGAUUUUUUUUAGUUUGGAUGACAUGGAAAAUACAAUGGAAAAAAAAUAUGAAGGAAAAUAUUAAAGAAAAUAUUGUAAUAUUUUCCUCACUAUUUUCCUUAAAAAAUAACGUGGAAAAUAUAAGAGAAAAAGAGCAGGGAAAAGAAGAGGAAAAUUUUGUCGGCUCUUGUUCACCGAAGCUUCAUCUCUAACUUCCUCUUCGUCAGUGGCUAUGGCUUCUCAACGUCGUCGACCCUUUCAACGACCACCACUAUCACUCCGACCACCUUCGAGUGCCUCUGAAAACCUACCAAUUUCAGACACCCGAGUUCCCAUUGAUGAAGUGCGUUCUUCAAAUCAAGUUCCCAUGGAUGACGGAUCCAUGUCUUCAAGUCAGGUAUGAAUUGAACUCUUUUCUCUUAACCUCACAUCAUCUCUGUGUUUGAUGUUGGUUUAAUUUUAUGAUCUCUUUCCCUCAUUCAGCAUUUUCCAUACAACUGACUAGAAAUUAGGGUUUAAGGUUUCCAAUGGGAAUUUCGAGUAUGUUUGGAUUGAUAUUUGCUUUUUAUUUUUUUUUUCCCCUUCAAAUGAGGGUUUGAAUUCAAUUUGAGUUAUUUCUUAGGGCUUUAUGGACCAAUGAUUUCAGGUUUCAGAAUGGGGAUUUUGAAUAUUAUUAGGGUUUUGAUUCUCUUUAUUGUUAAUUGCAACUUUGAAUGUUAAUAUGAAGAAAUGAUAAUUUGUAAUUUUGGGUAUCAUGUGUUGUUGUUAUUAGCCUUCCGAUAAGAUUGAAAAUGUUUAUUACUUAUUUAUUGUCAGUAAUAUAUGAUUUUCCGGGAAACACGAGGUUGAAUUGGGAAUUCAAAAGGCGUAAGGAUAGGGUUGGACUAAUUCUCAUGAACUUCUCAUCUAUUGUGGGACCUUAGAAAUUGCUGGACUUGGAUUAUACACUGCCACCUGCUCAUAUUAAUUAGCUCAUGAAGUCGUAAGGGAGUAGACGUACACAACCCAACUGCAUGUUCUCUGGUGGAGGUUCUGGGACCUUUCACUUGAUUGAAAAAUAAAUAAAUAAAUUCAUUAUGCUCCAUUAAUUUUUAGUUGCGAAAGAUUCAAGGAGACUAUAGCUUGUGAUUUUUUUCCUUCUCAUUGAUGUCUUGAUCUUUAUGAAUUGUGUUAAUUUAUCUUACCUAUUCUAUUUACUUGAUAUUGCUAACUUUACAUAUGUAUUUGAUUGUACUAAGCAUAAAAAUGGCAUUUACCCAUUUUGCUUAAUUCUUUUUUAUAUCUAAAUUGUUAGGAAAUUAUUGCAUCCUAUGAAAUCAAUCUUAAAUAACCAAGUCUGGAAUCUUAAGCCACUGGUUUAGGGUGUGAGGGCUACAAUGAAUUGUUUAGACAACCCGAAAACCAAUUAGACAACAGGCAGAAGUAGGAGAACAGGAACUACAAUGAAGAAAGAACUUAUGUAUUUUCUAUGUUAAUUUCUUUACUUCUGGAAGGAAGUUCCAAUGCAGCAGCAUCUAGCUAGCUAGAUAAAAUGGCAAAAAUUCAUGAUGACAUCCAAGACGAUUUUACAAGAACUAAUAUAAGCAAGAGCCAACAUAAAGGACCUUCUGUCAGUUUGGUUUGAACUCAUGUGAACCUUACGUCCUAUUCAUGAUGGCACCUCAACAUAAAUAUUUUUUUCUGGUGGCUAUUUGUACGUAUAAAAAAAUGUGUGCAUAUGUUAGUAUCAUAAAGUUCCAAAUAGGUAGGAUAGGUUUAUCAUAGAUGUUCAGUCAUUUGUAAAUUUUAACUGCUAAUAUAAGGGAUUGCACAAUUGCACUAAUCUUAUUCAGGUUGACCAUGAAGAAGUUGGGAAAUAACAUGAACACAUACUACUGAAAUAAUGAAAAGGAGUAUGAACUGUUUGAUAUUCUGAAAAGACUUCAUUUAAACAUGCACUUGGGAAAUAUAAGUUCACUCUUUCCAAAAACCUGAAAACUCAAUCUGCACUUGUUGGUGACUCUUUCGAGGAAUUGUAAUACAGUCACACUCUGUUUUGGUUAUCAAGAAUAUAAUCUCUUCUUCCUCCCAUGUAUAUAAAAGCUUCAUUUUAUAAAAAAACAUGCUUCUUUAAUCUAAUAGCUUAAAUUCUUAGAUAAUAAUCCAUAUGUAUCAAGCCUACCCAUGCUAAAAGCCCUAACAACAUGCUAAAAUCCCAUUCUUCAUGUAAAUAUAGGAGGCCUGCAGCAAUCUCCUUGAGGAUGUUGAACCUCUGUCCUCAAUCUCCUUGAGGAAAUUUUCUUUACAGCAACUUCUUCUCUAGUCUUUGGCAGCAACUUCUACAUUCUUGAUGGAUUAAAUGUAGCUCACAAAGCCACACACGUAUUCACUCUAAGCCUAGCCCAUUAAGUACAAUUUUUAAAAACUGUUCAACAUUAAGUAAAAAGGUCCAAUUAAUUCAGUGUCUUGAUUCAUAGAACCAGGUAGUUUUGUCUCCUUGUUCCAACAUUAUAUAGCAGAGCCAUGUUGCAAUUAACAUCAAGAAAAUAACUAGUGGGCAGAAACAUCCCUUAAUUUUCAUGCAAUAUUUUCCUCAAAAUUUUCAUAGCUAGAAAUCAUAAUACUUCAAUUCCUCUUACUUUACCUAAUGACUUUACUAAAUCAUUCCUCUUACUUUGCUAUCAUGUAGACUUAUAAUGAAGAAUGGCAAAGACUUAGAAGAUGGGCUGCAACUUGUGUAGCUAUGUAUGCUACAUAUGCGGCAAUUCUUGUUUCAGUUUAUCAUCGCUCAAACUAUUUGGAGAGAUCAAUCUCUAAUGAAGGAGAUUAUGAACGACAUGCUUUGAUGGAAAGACUUACACUAAUGGAUAAUGAAGAUUGUUAUAAUCAACUACGUAUGGGAAAGGAUGCAUUCGCAAGACUAGUAAACAUUCUUCGGGGAACAAGUCGUCUUAGAAAUAACGCACAUAGUAAUGUAGAAAAACAAGUUGCCAAAUUCCUUCACAUUGUUGGUCAUAAUUUAAGGAAUAGAACUAUGAAAUUUUAUUUCAAGCGUUCUAGUGAAACUAUUAGUCGCCACUUUCAUCAAGUUCUUAGAGCUAUAAUAUAUUUAGAUGAUGUCUUCUUAAAGCAGCCUGAUGGAUUAAAGUGCCCUCAAGAAAUCAAGGACAAUACCAAAUUUUGGCCCUACUUUAAGGUAAACUUACUUAUCUAACAAACAUCAUUAGAAUAUUAUUUAUAUUUCAAAAUAAACUAAUAAUUUUGUUUUUUUAUAGGAUUGCAUAGGGGCGAUUGAUGGGUCACAUUUUCGUGUAAAAGUGUCAAAUGAUGUUGUGCAAAGGUAUCGAGGGCGAAAGUACUAUCCAACACAAAAUGUUUUAGCAGCAUGUUCCUUUGACUUGAAGUUCACAUAUGUUUUACCUGGUUGGGAAGGAUCUGCGUCAGACUCGAGAAUCCUAGAUAAUGCAUUAGUGAGAGAUUUUGAUAAAUUGAUUGUUCCACAAGGUAAUUAUUGGUAAUUAGAUAAUAACAUAAUUUAUUAGCUCAAGUGACUAUUACUAAUAACAAAGAUCCUUUGUCUAUGCUUCUUAGGUAANNNNNNNNNNNNNNNNNNNNNNNNNNNNNNNNNNNNNNNNNNNNNNNNNNNNNNNNNNNNNNNNNNNNNNNNNNNNNNNNNNNNNNNNNNNNNNNNNNNNNNNNNNNNNNNNNNNNNNNNNNNNNNNNNNNNNNNNNNNNNNNNNNNNNNNNNNNNNNNNNNNNNNNNNNNNNNNNNNNNNNNNNNNNNNNNNNNNNNNNNNNNNNNNNNNNNNNNNNNNNNNNNNNNNNNNNNNNNNNNNNNNNNNNNNNNNNNNNNNNNNNNNNNNNNNNNNNNNNNNNNNNNNNNNNNNNNNNNNNNNNNNNNNNNNNNNNNNNNNNNNNNNNNNNNNNNNNNNNNNNNNNNNNNNNNNNNNNNNNNNNNNNNNNNNNNNNNNNNNNNNNNNNNNNNNNNNNNNNNNNNNNNNNNNNNNNNNNNNNNNNNNNNNNNNNNNNNNNNNNNNNNNNNNNNNNNNNNNNNNNNNNNNNNNNNNNNNNNNNNNNNNNNNNNNNNNNNNNNNNNNNNNNNNNNNNNNNNNNNNNNNNNNNNNNNNNNNNNNNNNNNNNNNNNNNNNNNNNNNNNNNNNNNNNNNNNNNNNNNNNNNNNNNNNNNNNNNNNNNNNNNNNNNNNNNNNNNNNNNNNNNNNNNNNNNNNNNNNNNNNNNNNNNNNNNNNNNNNNNNNAGGCUUUGAAGUACACAAAAGUGUAAGUGAAAAAAGAAACUUGACUUGGAUUGAUGAAAUGGACAACUUUUUGGUUGAUCGAUUAAUGGAGCAAAUGCAUAAAGGGCAAAAGAUAGGAGGAGUCUUCACCAAGACAGCUUAUGCAAUGGUUGUGCGAGAAAUUGGGGAAAAUUUUGAAUUGAGUUGUAACUCUGAGCACAUAAAAAAUAGAAUGAAAACUUUAAAAAAAAACUUUUAUGCUGCUCAAGAAGUUUUACAAAAUGGUAGUGGAUUUGGUUUCAAUGAAUCAACUCCAAUGAUCGAAGCUACCACGGAAGUAUGGACUACUUACACUAAGGUGAGUUAAUUAUUAUUUUUGAGUUAUUAGAAAUAAAUUUUUUGCAUGUAAUGUAGAGUUAUAAAAUUCUAAUAGACAUUAUUACAAUUGAACUCGAGUUUUGUUAAUAUUUGUUUUUUCUGAUGUUAAAAGGCACACCCAGGAGCAUCUCAGCUCAAACACAAACCUAUUAGAAAUUAUGAUAAGUUGUCCAUUCUUCUUGGAAAAGAUCGAGCAACAGGAAGUCUUGUUGUAGGUGCAAAAGAAAGACAACUUCGUUGGGCCCAGGAACAAAAUUUGGAUGACACAAUUCCAUUGGGAUCAUCACAACAUGGGAUCAGAGAUGAAACAUUUGCUUAUGUUGAAAAUGAAGCAACAACUGAGACAUCUUUCUCAUCUGCAGAUGCAUCUGUUUCUGCACCAAAGUCAAACAAAGAAACAAAAAAGCGAAAAGCAAAAUAUGCUGACAUUGUAAGUGAAGAAUUAAGAUCAAUUAGAGUUGGAAUGGAUGCAGUUGUUGCGGCUCUUGAUAGAAGCAACCUUCAAAACUAUACAAAAGAGCAAUUGUUUGAAGAGAUUGCUAAGGUUGGAGGCAUGAGUGAUGUAUCUCAUAUGAAAGCAUAUCAAGCUCUUACGGGUGAUGUGAGUGCAGCUCGAGCCUUCCUUGCUUGUCCAAUUGAUAGGCGUAAGCUUUGGUUGUCAGUUAAAUUUGGACCUACUUUUUUUGAUGCCUAAUUUGAGAUAGAGAUUAUUUUUAUUUUUAGUUUUACUUUUGUUUUGGGGCUAUACGUGAAGUUUUGAUAUCAAAACUCAUGGAUGAUAGUUGACUAUUAGAAAUUGAUCUAUUAUAUUUUUAGACUUAUGAAGACUUUUUUUAUUCAUCUAUAUUUUCAAAUCUACAGCUACUUUUACCUUAGUUUUGAUACGCGUUUUGGUUUUGGUUUGAGAACUGAGAACCUUUUCCGGGGGUGGUUUAGAAGCAGUUGGUUGAGAUUCUGAUUCAUUUUACUUUUCCAGCUCAGCAUCCAUGUGGUUUCUUUGCGUUUCAGAUAAAGUUUUUGCUUCUUAGUAUUUGGAAUAUUCAGGAAUCUUUCGGUAUUUGGAUAGAGAAUGCCUUUUAAUUAAACUGUUAUAUAACUGAAUUGUUGAAUAUGAUCAAUAUGCAUUGUAUUGUCAGGAAUGCUGAUAAUUGUUUCCUUCUUCGUACAGUCAUUUUGAAUAAGCAUUAUAGCCUUUUUCUGGGGAAGAGACCCAGAAUCAUGCUUUGCUUUUGAAGUAGUUUUUUGUUCUCCUUUGAGUUUCUCCUUUACAUCAUGGAAUGAGAUGUCAAAGUGACAUGGGGUAGGAAGCUUCAUAUCACCUGUUCCUGUUCUUUUAGGGCCUUCUCUAUAUUUUCUUUUUUUCUUUUUUCUUUUUUUUUCUUCUUUUUCCUUUUGUUGUUGUUGUUGUUGUUGCCGUGAUGUCCUUGAGAAAUCCCUCGUUUGUUGGAUCAUAUUUGAAGGAAACCUGAAGCUUAUUCAGAAUUGUGAUGUCUUUUUGUAUGGAAUUCUGUUUCAGGUAGAGGUAAGGCCGAAUUGGUCAAACAAUUUUCAAAACUGUGGUAAUCUUGCAAAGAUUUUAUAUAUAUAACCUAGAUAUCAUGGAAUCUUUGAACCAGGUUUAACUACAUUCCUGUUUGACUCAGUACUGGUUUAAUUGCAAUUUUCUAUACCUCGACUGGCCAUUCAAUAAAAGACAAUGGAAAAUGAUACUUUUUAGAACAUUUCUGAGGUUUUUCUUCUUCAAACACAAUUGGUAUACACCACAACCAUCCACUGAGUGCUGAUAUUGAUUAUUUACCCUAUCAUUGGUUUUUGAAAAAUUUCACGAAAAUUGCAAAGAAAAAAUAAAAUUAAUAUAUUAUUUUUAUUUACUUUUUCUUUCAUAUUUUUAUGAUUAACCAACGUGAAAAAAAUCAUUUUAUUUGUAUUGCUUUGUCCUUUCCUUAUUAUUUAACGUAGCUUCAUAUCAUGUUAAUUUGUAAGAAAAGUGUGAAUAAUUUGUUGCUAGAUUUAGGAGCGGGAAAAUGAUUUAGCAGAUGUAAAAUGGGCCUCAGCUCUUAAUUUUGAAUUUUAUAUUUUAUAUAGUAGUUUUUUAUUUUUACAUUAUAUGAACAUAUUUUAUUUCUAAAUUUUGAUUCUGAAAAUCCUUUUGAAUUUUUUAAGAGCUUUUUAUUAGCUAUAAAUAUUUCCUUGAAAAUAAAAAAUAGUUAUUACUCGUAUACUUUAUUUGUAUUACAUGAAGAAAAGUUUAUGCAUAAAUUUUAUAAUUAUUAAUAAAAAAAAAUAAUAGCAAAGACUUUUUAUGAGUAAUGUUUUAUGUCGAAAUAUUCACGUUUUUCAACAGUUUUUUUAUUGGAUUAAUUUAUUAUUAUUCAACAAAUUAUAACCAUUUAAGACAAAUUGUUGAUUUUAUUUUCCUUCCAUUUUUCCUUACUUUUUUAUUUGUGGUUAACCAAACAAAAGAAAAUGAAUUCUUUUUUUUUUUUCCCUUGAAUUUUCCAUGGAUAACCAAACAAGUGAAAAAAAUUAUAUUCCUUUCCUUACCUUUUUCUUUUCUUCCAUUUUUCCUCUCAAUUUUCUUUCUCUCGCAUUUUCCGGGAACCAAACAGAGCAUUAGGUAUUACUAUUAUUCCAAUCAUUUACUUAUUUUAAAACUUCACCUUUAAAUAAUCUUUCAAAGUUCUUGUUUCUAAAUUUAAUUUUCAAUUUUCGUAAAUUCCCAAUAUUCCCACUAAUUUAUUUAAUCAUCAGCAUUUUAUUUAUUUAUUUUAAAACUCCAUUUUNNNNNNNNNNNNNNNNNNNNNNNNNNNNNNNNNNNNNNNNNNNNNNNNNNNNNNNNNNNNNNNNNNNNNNNNNNNNNNNNNNNNNNNNNNNNNNNNNNNNUCCCUAAUCCCGAAAAUUUCAAUAUUCACAUUAAUUUAUUUAAUUAUUAUUAUUAAACAAUUCGUUAAAGUUUCCAUUUCCGAUUUUAAUUUCUAAUUCCAAAAAUUCCAAUAUUCACAUUAAUCUAUUUAAUUAUUUUAUUUUAUUUAUUUAUUCUAAAAUUCCAUUUUAAACAAUUCGUUAAAAUUUCCAUUUCCGAUUUUAAUUUCUAAUUCCAAAAAUUCCAAUAUUCACAUUAAUUUAAUUUAUUAUUAUUAUUUUAUUUAUUUAUCCUAAAAUUCCAUUUUAAACAAUUCGUUAUUAUUUAAUUAUUAUUAUUAAACAAUUCGUUAAAGUUUCCAUUUCCGAUUUUAAUUUCUAAUUCCAAAAAUUCCAAUAUUCACAUUAAUUUAAUUUAUUAUUAUUAUUUUAUUUAUUUAUCCUAAAAUUCCAUUUUAAACAAUUCGUUAAAAUUUCCAUUUCCGAUUUUAAUUUCUAAUUCCAAAAAUUCCAAUAUUCACAUUAAUUUAAUUUAUUAUUAUUAUUUUAUUUAUUUAUCCUAAAAUUCCAUUUUAAACAAUUCAUUAAAAUUUCCUCUUUCGAUUUUAAUUUCUAAAUCCAAAAAUUCCAAUAUUCACAUUAAUUUAGUUUAUUAUUAUUAUUUUAUUUAUUUAUCCUAAAAUUCCAUUUUAAACAAUUCAUUAAAAUUUCCACUUUCGAUUUUAAUUUUUAAUUCCAAAAAUUCCAAUAUUCACAUUAAUCUAUUUAAUUAUAUUAUUUUAUUUAUUUAUCCUAAAAUUCCAUUUUAAACAAUUCAUUAAAAUUUCCACUUUCGAUUUUAAUUUUUAAUUCCAAAAAUUCCAAUAUUCACAUUAAUCUAUUUAAUUAAUUUAUUUUAUUUAUUUAUUCUAAAAUUCCAUUUUAAACAGUUCACUUAAAACUUUCGAUUUCCGAAUUAAAUUUCUAUUUCUGAAAAUUCCAAUAUUCACAUUAAUUUAUUAUUAUUAUUUUAUUUGUUUAUUCUAAAAAUCCAUUUUAAACAAUUCAUUAAAAUUUCCACUUUCGCUAAUUCCAAAAUUCCAACAUUCACAUUAAUCUAUUUAAUUAUUGUUAUUUUAUUUAUUUAUUCUAAAAUUUCAUUUUAAAACAAUUCAUUAAAAUUUCCAUUCCCGAUUUAAUUUCUAAUUCCAAAAUUCACAUUAAUCUAUUUAAUUGUUAUUAUUUUAGUUAUUUAUUUUGAAAUUCCAUUUUAAACAAUUCUUCAAAAUUCCAAUUUCUGAACUUAAUUUCCGAUUUCCAAAAUUCUAAUUUCUUUCAAAUUUAAUAUCCAAAAUUCCAAUUCUUAAAUUUAUUUUUUCAAGACUCGAAUCUUCAAAUAAUUUUCGAGACUCUAAUUUCCAAAUAAAUCUCAAAAAUCCAGUUUUCUCUCGAAUAGCUUUAAUCCCACUCUGUUUUUUUAAAUAAUGUUCUAUUUCUUUUGAUGUUUACACAAGCAAGAAUGAUGAAUCUUCAUAAUUCCGAAAUAAUGGGAUUCGCGAGAUUAAUUCAGGCAAGAUCAAUCGGGUUUUUGGUGGGGCCCCCACAUAUGUGAUUUUAUGACUGACUGAUUGAUUAAUUGAUUUAUUUACCAUGCUUGUUUGAUUUAUUCUAUUCCUUGACAUGCGCAUAAUUUUAUCUAUUCGUCAUUCGCUAAUCUUGUCUCAUGAUAGCGCAUUCGUGACUGGAGGACUAGGUACGCAUCCACUCAUAUUUUGUUCAUUCUUUACACAUGCUUUGCUUCCUACAUCGUGCAUGAUUAAGGUGAGUAUCCAUUGACUUUCUCAUUGAUUGCCGCGUCAGCUUCAUUCUAUUAGUAGAGACCCGAUUUCAGGGACUUAGAGGGGUGCUACGGUUCAUACUGUACCUUCCCGAUAAGUAACCUGACCCCUGAGCCCGAUCCGGUUUUUCACAGACCACCUUUUCCAAAAUAAGGAGUCACACUUAGGGUUUUUCUUUCUUAUUUUGUUUACCCUUUAAAAAUAAAACAAAAAUAAGUGGCGACUCCAAGUCAUUUUCCUUAAUCAAAUAAAAUCUAUUUCUCAAAAUAAAAAUCGAGCUCGCCAUCGAGUGGGAAACGCAUGAGCCGAAAUGCGGGGUCCACAACCCUUCAAAACUAUUUUGAGUAUUUUCUAUCACAAUAUUUGACAAACUUUUUUAUCUUAAUUUUUUUAAUAAUUAUUUUGAAAAUUUAUUAUUUUUAGAAAACUAAUUUUUUAAACAAAUAUAUUCUAAAAAUAUAUCAUUUAAAAAAAAUAAUUUUGACAUAUUUUUAGUUAUUUUUUAUAUACACAAUUUUAAAAAUAUACAUUUUCCAAGAUGUUUGAUUUUUAAAUAAUCAUAAUAAUAAUAAUUUACUUUUAUUUUUUUUGAAAAAUGGUGUAUUUUUUUCCAAAUCACUAAAUUAAAUUAAAUUUUAUUGAGGUUUACAAAAAAAAUUAAAAUUAAAAUUAAUAUUUUUCUACUCUUUUUUUUCAUAGUCAAUAAAGAUCAUUUUUGGAAAGAUAAAAAAUUCAUAUCAUUCUUCUCAAUUUUUACACUUUGUCUAGAUCUUGGACUUAAAUGGUGAACUUAUAUGGAUCAAAGUUUAAUUUUUGAGCCCAACUAAGUCUAAAACAUAAUUGUCCCUUUUUCUUUUUGACUUUUUUUCCUCACUUGAACGGCUCAAUUGGUGGACCUCCCCACCUUUUUCUUCCUUUUUUUUAUUUUUUUUCUUUGCAUUUUCCCUCCCCAAUCCCUGCUGCCGCAUUCUCACAUUCUCACCAAAUCAAAUUAUGUUUUAUAUUACGAUUAAAUAAAUUAAAUUUUGUUCUUUUUUAAUACUUUGAUUUUAAUUAAUUUUGUAAAAUAAUUCUUCUUCUCCUUUUUUCCCUAUUUUUGAAAAUCUAUUGAAUAAGAAAAGCAAACUUUAUUUUUUAAAAAUACAAUUCAUUUAUUCAUUUUUGUAUUAAAUUUUUAUUUUAACAUCAUUGUAAUUAAUGCAUUAAAAUAAAUUAAUUUUUAAUAUAAAAAUAUGCUCACCUAUAAUAAUUAAUAAUCUAAUAAAUAAAUAAAUAAAUAAAUAAAUGCUAUAUAUAUAGAUAAUAUUUUAUUCUUUUUAGCAUUUAUAAUAUUUUUAUAUUUAUAAUUUUUAUAUUAUGAGUCUCAUUUUUUAUAUUAAUAUUUUUAAUUUUUUUUUAUAGAAUAUUAAACCUAAAUUUAAAAGAAAAAAACACCAUCCAUAAGUUGAAACUGAAUUUUUUGUUUUCUUAAAAAAAAAAAAACUUACCUUUAAUUUCAUUCAACAAAAAAUUAGUAAUGAUAAUUUUUUAAGAGUAUUUAAUUUUAAGCACAGUAUUUGAAGGUAUAUAAAAUUAAAAUUUUAAAUAUAAUUCUCAUCAUAAUAAAUUGAUAUUUAAAAAAAAACUAAUUUUUUUUAUUAAAUAUAUAAAAAAAGUACAUUUUUGUUUAAUUAAAAACUUAAACCGGUAAAAUUGUUUUUAUUUUAAUAAAUAAUGUUUUUAAAAAGCACAUUAUAUGUUUUUUUACCUAUUAUUUAAUAAUUGUUAUCAAAAUCAUAAUAAUGACAAUAAAAAACUUAAUAAGCUAAUACAUUCUACUAUUUAUAAUGGUAAUUUUAGUUAUUACUUUUAGGUAAAAACAAGGUUGUCACCAGUAACAUAUUUGAUAUAGAGAUUGAAAUGGUGAUGAAUGAGUGAUAGAUUACUAUUUACCGAUAUACUUUUAAUUACUACCAUUAUUACUUUUAGGUAAAAACUAUACUACCAUCUUCAAUAACAUGUUUGAUGUAAAGACUAAUAUGUUUGAUGUAAAUACUAAAAUGUCGGUGCAUAAAAUUCUAUUUACUGUUGGUGUAAAAAUAAAUUUAAUUUUAAAUAAAAGAAUUUUUAUUUUCUAAAAGUACCCGCUUUAUGAUAAUAAUUUAAAAGCAAUAGAGUUGGAAAUAAAAUUACUUUAGAUAGCACCAUUGGUAAUUGAAUUUAAUCUUUAAUAUUUUAAUCCCAUUGAAACAGUCACAAUUGACCCCAUUGAAACAGCCACAAUUGACGUCCCCCCCCCCCUAUACCUGAAAAAUUUUAUAUGUAUUAUUGGUACUCUUACGUAAUAAGAAGAAUAGGUAAUAGAAGAAGAAGAAAAAAAAAAAAAAAAGGAAAAAAGAAAAACUUGGACAUAAUAAAAAUAUAUAAAUUUAUGUGAAAAAAAUAAUAAGAAUAUUACAUAAAAAAAACUUCCGUAGAAAAAAGGAAAUCCACUUCAAAAAUUUAGGAAUAUAUAUAUACUCGUAUCACGAAGUUGUCAAAUCAAAAUUGGAGUUCGGUUCUUACAAUUAAAAUAUUGGUAUCCUAACUGUAAAUUGAAGGGAAAAAUAUAAAGAAAAAUAAAUAAAAAUAAAAAAUAAAAAAUCUUUUUAUAUAUUAUUUUAAAUCCAUUUAAUUUAUUUUAACUAUUUCUUGAUAUAAAUUUUUAAUCUUUUUAGAUAUAAAUAUUUAAUUAAUUUUAAUUAUAUUUAAUUUAUUUGAUAUUGUCCAAGACACAAUCAAACAUAAAAAGAAAAUUAUUUUUCUUAAUUUUUUUUUCUUGUUCUUGUACCACUUCGAGGCAAACAUAACCUAAGGCUAUGUUUGGUUUCCGGAAAGUACAAAGGAAAGAAAAAAAAUGUUAAGAAAAAUGAUUUUCUCAUGUUUGAUUGUCCUGUGAAAAAUAUCAAAGAAAAUAAAAUAUAAUUAAAACUAAUUAAAAACUUAUGUAUUUUUAAAUUAUUUAAUCUUUAUAUUGAUGAGUUAAAAUAAAUAAAAUGAGUUUGAAGUAACAAAAAAAUUAAUUUAUCAACUUUUAAUCUAUUUUUUAUUUUCCUUCACUUUUUCUUUUCUUCUACUUUUCCUUUAUAUUUUCUUUCCCUCGCAUUUUCCCUCAAAUUUUCCGGGAACAAAACAUAGCCUAAAAGUCCCAAACAAAUGUCAAUUACUCCAAAUUUCAGUUCAAUUCUCACAAAAACGCUUUAUGAUACCUCAUUUUUGCCUUUAAUGCUGCAGAACUUAUGCCUAGUAGGAAUGGCAAAGGCCUGAUUUUCAUAAUCCGAAAACAUCCCAUUGUCCAGUGGAAGCAUCUACAUAUUCAAAUAUUCAGUAACCCAUCCCGCCGGACCGACAGCGGCGGCCCAUCAAUGAAGCCAUCAUGACCAACUGAUUCAAGCUCAAACCCAACGCAACUUCCCUACGAGAGCUAGGGCCAGAAAAAAACCUAAUUUUUAGAAAACUAAUUUUUUUUAAAAAUAUAUUCUAAAAAUAUAUCAUUUAAAAAAAUUAAUUUUGAGAUAUUUUUAAUUAUUUUUUAUAUACACAAUUUUAAAAAUAUAUGUUUUCCAAGAUGUUUGAUUUUUAAAUAAUAAUAAUAAUAAUAAUAAUUUAUUUUUAUUUUUUUUGGAAAAUGAUGUAUUUUUUUCCAAAUCAUUAAAUUAAAUUAAAUUUUAUUGAGGUUUACAAUAAAAAUAAAAAUAAAAAUAAUAUUUAUUAUUAUUAUUUUUUCAUAGUCAAUAAAAAUCAUUUUUGAAAAGAUAAAAAAUUUCAUAUCAUUCUUUUCAAUUUUCAAACUUUCUUUAGGUCUUGGGCUUAAAUAGUAUACUUAUAUGGAUCAAAACUUAAUUUUUGGGUCUAACUAGAUCCAAAAGAUAAUUAUCCCUUUUUCUUUUUGACUUUUUUUUUUCCUCACUUGAACGGCUCAAUUGGUGGACCUCCCCAUCCUUUUCUUCCUUUUUUUUUUCUUUGCAUUUUCCCUCCCCAAUCCCCGCCAUUCUCAUCAAAUUAAAUUAAGUUUUAUAUUACAAUUAAAUAAAUUAAAUUUUGUUCUUUUUUAAUACUUUGAUUUUAAUUAAUUUUGUAAAAUAAUUCUUCUUCUCCUUUUUUCCCUAUUUUUGAAAAUCUAUUGAAUUAGAAAAGCAAACUUUAUUUUUUAGAAAUACAAUUCAUUUAUUCAUUUUUUUAUUAAAGUUUUAUUUUAACAUCAUUGUAAUUAAUGCAUUAAAAUAAAUUAUUUUUUAAUAUAAAAUAUAUGCUCACCUAUAAUAAUUAAUAAUCUAAUAAAUAAAUAAAUACUAUAUAUAUAUAUAUAUAUAUAAUAUUUUAUUCUGUUUAGCAUUUAUAAUAUUUUUAUAUUUAUAAUUUUUAUAUUAUGAGUCUCAUUUUUUAUAUUUUUAUUUUAAAUUUUUUUUAUAGAAUAAUAAACCUAAAUUUAAAAAAAAAAACACCAUCCAUAAGUUGACUGAAUUUUUUGUUUUCUUAAAAAAAAAUAAUAUUAACUUACCUUUAAUUUCAUUCAACAAAAAAUUAGUAAUGAUAAUUCUUCAAGAGUAUUUAAUUUUCAAAGCAAUAUUUGAAGGUAUAUAAAUUAAAAUUUUAAAAAUGUUUGCAUUAAAAUUUUAAAUAUAAUUCCCAUCAUAAUAAUUUGAUAUUUUUUUAAAAAAAAAAGAAAAACUAAUUUUUUUUAUUAAAAACGUAAAAAAAAGUACAUUUUUGUUUAAUUAAAAAUUUAAACUAGUAAAAUUGUUUUUAUUUUAAUAAAUAAUGUUUUUAAAAACCACAUUAUAUGUUUUUUUACCUAUUAUUUAAUAAUCAUUGUAAAAAUCAUAAUAAUGACAUAAAAAACCUAAUAAGCUAAUACAUCCUACUAUUUAUAAUAGUACUUUUAGUUAUAACUUUUAGGUAAAAACAAGGUCACUAGGAAUAUAUUUGAUAUAAAGAUAGAAAUGAUGAUGAAUGAUAAAUGGAUUAUUAUUCACCGUUAUACUUUUAAUUACUACCAUUAUUACUUUUAGAUUAAAACUAUACUUAGAGACUAAAAUGGUGAUUGAUCAGUGCAUAAAAUUCAACUUAAUGUUGGUGUAAAAAUAAAUUUAAUUUUAAAUAAAGAAUUUUUAUUUUCUAAAAGUACCCGCUUUAUGAUAAUAAUUUAAAAGCAAUAGAGUUGGAAAUAAAAUUACUUUAGAUAGCACCAUUGGUAAUUGAUUUUAAUCUUUAAUAUCUUAAUCCCAUUGAAACAGUCACAAUUGACCCCAUUGAACUGAAAAAUUUUAUAUGUAUUAUUGGUACUCUUACGUAAUAAGAAGAAUAGGUAAUAGAAGAAGAAAAAAAAAUAAAAGAAAAAGAAAACUUAGACAUAAUAAAAAUAUAUAAAUUUAUAUGAAAAAAAUAAUAAGAAUAUAUAAAUUUACAUAAAAAAAACUUCCAUAGAAAAAAGGAAAUCCACUUCAAAAAAUUAGGAAUAUAUAUAUAUACUCGUAUCACGAAGUUGUCAAAUCAAAAUUGGAGUUCGGUUCUUACAAUUAAAACAUCGAUACCCUAAUUGUAAAUUGAAGGGAAAAAUACAAAGAAAAAUAAUUAAAAAAAUAUUAAAAAAUCUUUUUAUAUAUUAUUUUAAAUCCAUUUAAUUCAUUUUAACUAUUUCUUGAUAUAAAUUUUUAGUCUUUCUAGAUAUAAAUAUUUAAUUAAUUUUAAUUACAUUUAAUUUUCUUUGAUAUUGUCCAAGAUACAAUCAAACAUAAAAAGAAAAUUAUUUUCUUUAAUUUUUUUUUCUUGUACCACUUCGAGCCAAACAUAACCUAAAAGUCCCAAACAAAUAUCAAUUACUCCAAAUUUCAGUUCAAUUCUCACAAAAACGCUUUAUGAUACCUCAUUUUUGCCUUUAAUGCUGCAGAACUUAUGCCUAGUAGGAAUGGCAAAUGCCUAAUUUUCAUAAUCCGAAAACAUCCCAUCGUCCACUCCAGUGGAAGCAUCUACAUAUUCAAAUAUUCAGUAACCCAUCCCGCCGGACCGACAGCGGAGGCCCAUCAAUGAAGCCAUCAUGACCAACCGAUUCAAGCUCAAACCCAACGUAACUUCCCUACGAGAGCUAGGGCCAGAUAAAAACCUACAGAAAAUUCUCUAUUGCUGACAACAUUUCGUUCGUCCAGGCACUUUCGUUACUGAAUCCUGUACGCUUUAAUCCUCCUCCAAAAAAAAAUCUGGUUGAACUGGUGGUUAUACCUCCAAAAAAAAUUGGAGUACUGCUUGGGGUACUCCGACAGUAGAUAUUAAUGAAAAUCUCGUUGCCGGAGACAUUCUUUCCAUUCAGUCUGUCGCCCAUAACGAGAACCCAGUCAUUUUUCUGAGCCACGUACUUUUUGAGUGGUGGUAUGAAUUUAAAGCAAGUCUUAUCUAUUACAGGUUGAAAGACCCCAUGUACACAGGAAAGUGAUACAGCAAUAGACGAACACAGAACAUCACAUAGGCCCUCAUACACUUUUAUGUACUUUCUCUACUCACUUGUGUACUAUAUAUCUACCACUACAUACUACUUUAUCUGCCACUUAAGCGUAAGGAGAGAGCAUCACCUAUAAACCCCAAUUUACUAUUUUAUGUACUGUCUCUGACCCACUGGUAUAUUACUCACACAAAAACCCUAGGAACAGACUCUGUGGGCUUGCAAUCAACCUCUCUCAGCUUCGUCUGGAGCCCCGUCCCUGCACCAUUUGCCAAUGGAUGUAUGCCGUGCUCUGGGCCUUUCAUGUACGCUCUGUUCUCCCUCUCCUUAUCAAAUAUCACUCCAAAGCGCUUCUCACAAUCUGCCAUUAAUUAUCAAACGAAUGACACUCGUUGAGAUCACAAAAAAUGAAUCCCUAGGGGUAACUGCAAUGUUGCAGCUGAUAGCAUUAUCCCAAGAUAAUAAUAAACACUAGAUACUAGGCACUUACCACGUGCCAAUUUUUCAUCAAGCUGGCCAUCCCUAGAGAGCGCCAUCAUGAUCUGAGGGAGACCAAGAGGGAGAUUAUCACCUCUGUCAACCUGCCAGAAGUGAAUUGUCUUCCCAUACGUCUUGCACACCUUCUCCAGGUCCUGCCUCUCCACCAGUGCCGGCAUCCUGGGCAUGAAAAGCACGCCGCUCUUCACCUCAAACUCGUGAGAGUGCCACAGCGGCUUCUCCAUAUCGGGUAGCGUCAUGAAAAGAUUCUCGGAUAUGAUGUAUUCCAACCCAAUAAGCUUAGCGUCUGCCUCCGGACCAUCAUAUAUCAGGCACUGCCGCAUCUCCUCGUUCUGGUGCGCGCAGAAGUGAUGCGCUUCCACUUGCCGCGUCAUGUCAUGGCCAUAGAAAUGGAACCUGCAGACCCAGAAUUAAUAAUUAAGAUUAUCUUAAAAAAAAUUAUCAUUGAUUCAGAAGAAUCUACAAAAAAGAUGAAGAAUAAGGGGGGCUACGCGCAGAGGUGUUGGUGAAUUUUGUUGAUAGGGCCGAAUCCUUGGAUGGCAGAUGUGGCUGUCUCGAGAAGGGCGGUGGUGGUAUGAGUGGGCUCGCCGGGAACUUCAGGAUGAGUCGACAUGGCUUUCUUUUUUCCUCCUUCGCUUUGCUUUCUUCAAUCUUUACCCGAAAAAAGGGUGCACAGGACCAUUUAAGGGUGAGACUGGGCUUCAAAUGCGAGGCUUAUGCCUGGCAAAUGGCUUUCCAUGCAUUCCUACACGUGGCAUCAGUUUCUUUACGUGUCUUAUUGCUGGUGUAACGUGGCUAUCAACGUGGCCUCUUGGCAGGAGAGGCAAGGCGUCAAAAUUAAAAUUUAUGGAUUGAUGGGAGAUAUUCAUUACAAAUAUAAAUUUUACUGUCUUUUUAUUUUUUAUUUUUUAUCAUUGUUUAUUAGAUGCAAAGGGAAUAUAUGUAUUAUUAACUUUAUUUAGAAGAAUAAUAAAAUCACGGAAUUAUUACUGAUAAUUGAGACUCAAGAGACACUCAAGACAACAAACAACGACAAAAUUGAUUCAAAAUUACGGAUAAUUGACAAUAGAACAUUCAAAUCAUCACUUCAUGCAAUGGAUAGUCAUAUUUAUUAUGUUGAUCAGGCUCUGAAUAUUACAAACUUUUCUUUUCACUAAAUUUCAAUUUCAUAUGGCCUAUUAAAUCACAUCUAAGAUGCAAAUAAAAAGAAAGAUUUGACAACUAUUUCAUACCUAAUUAAUGUUGUUUAUGAUCCUUCUAUCAAAAGGACAGGCUAAUAUGGAGAUAUGUUCUCUCAAGCUAGAGUGAGAGUGAACGUGGGUGCCUAGCUUAUCCCCAAACAUAGUGAAGACAUCCUUUGAUAAAAAUUUGAUAAAAAUAUCAACAAAUUGAGAAUAUGAUUCAUGCCUAAUUGGUGUCUCAACUGAUUCAUGUCCAGCUGGUGCUCCUUGAAUGAGGGAGUAAUCAACAAAAUUUAUAACCUAUUACACCAUGUACUAGGGUAGCAGAGACAAAACUAUUAUAGCAUAGUGGCUCUAGGAUCGUUCACUGGGAUGGGUUUUCACUUCACAAAUGAUAUUCAAAUUAGGAAAAUAGGUGAUUUUCUUAUGGAUGUUAGCUUUAAAAGAAGAUGUAAAUGUUUUAGAAAGAUUUAAACUAAUCUAAGCUAACAUUAAAGACUAAAAUGAAAGGAUGUAAAAACAAGUUUCUCAAAGAUAGGAUAGCUAUGCUCUGGCUCUUAUGCAAAUUGGAAAUCUCAGGAUAGGCUCCUCGCGUUGGGGUUGCAACUAUGGUGAUACUUGCUUCCCGAACCGGUAUGGAUUUAGCAAAUCAAGUUUUAAUCCUUUAAAAUGGCAAAACAAAUGGUAGUGAAUUUCAUCAAUGGUUAUUCACCUUAGACUUCCUUUGAAUGGCUCGUAAGAGAUAACUAAUGGUCUAAAGCCAAAAGCUUACCAAAUAUUGGCAACUCAAAGUCAUUCUAGGUGAUAAACUCACCUUUCAAUGGCCAUUGAAAUUGGUUCUAACGGAUUAAUGAAAAAUGACUAUCUUACCUUCCAGGUGCGAGAAAUUUCCAUGGGAUUGCAUCCAAGUCAUCACAUAACAUCCAUACUUUGAGAAACUAAAAGUUUUAUCCAAUCAUCCUCUGAGGAAAAGCCCUCAGAGGAAAAGCCCUCAGAGGCUGUUUGACUACUAAGAAAAUAGAAAUGGGGAAGAACAGGAGAAGAGAGAAAAACAGAGCAAGGCUCUGUAUAGUCUAUAUAUUUAAAUAUCUAUAUAUUGAUCGAUAUCUAUUACAAUGGAUGCAAGGGAAUAUAUAUAGAGAAGUUUUUCCAACCUUCCUAGCUAAGAAAUCUUAUGGUUGGUGGAUUAUAAGGAGAAGAAUGAAAAUUUAUACAAAAAUAUCUGAAGAAAAGAUCUAAAAGAGUCGGUGCACAAAUAUCCUAGUUUUGCACGUUGCAUGGUGACUUGCGAAAAUUUCGCAAGUUGAUUUCGCAACUUAGAAUCCACUUUCGCACGUUGAGCUCCAAGUUCACAAGUUGCAAAAUCACUUUCGCAAGUUGGGCUUUAAUUUCGCACGUUGGAGUUCCAAAUUCGCAAGAUGCGAAUUUGUCCUUCAACUGGAUGCAGUUGUCUUGCGAAGGCCAUAUCUUCCUCAUUUCAGCUCCAAAUCGUACACGGUUUGAAGCGUUGGAUUCUUGACUUCCUGAGCUUUGAAAUGGCAUAUAGAAUGUAGAAAAUGGACUUCGGAAAGUGCUCCAAAAGUGCAAAAGAAGACUGUAGCUGCUGUCCUCUGUUUUCUUCACUCUGUUUUUCUUCUCUCCGUUGUUCUUUCCUUGCAUACUUUGAACGACUUUGGCAAAGGGCUAUGGAGCUCCAAAGCUUGGUUCUUCAUGAAUUUGAGCUUCCAAAAGCUUUGCCAUGAACUAUAUACAGCUCUCCCUCAUUCUUGGAUUGCUUUGGUGUAGCUAAAAGCUAUCAAAAACACCAAAACUUAACACAAUUUGAUUAGAAAUGAUUGCAAAGGCCCUUAACAUGCCAAUUGAGCUAAAAGGUAAUAAUUACUACUCAAGAGUGUUUAAAAGAGUUAAUUACAAGUUACAAAAUAGCACUUUUUGAGUAAUAAUCAGAAUAUGUGGAAACAUAAUAAGUAAUAAGAGUGCUUAUAUAACUAUUUUCUUUCAUACAAAAUGAUAUUCAAACUCAAUAUAUUUAGAACAAACAUGCAUGAAACAUUGGAUUAACAGAUAUUUUAAGAGCUCUAAUAUUGUCACAAAAUAAUUUUGGUGGUUUAAAGAAGGGCACACCAUUAUCUCAUAGAAGAUAAGUAAUCCAAGUUAACUCAACUAUAAAGAAGGCUAAAGAGCAAUACUCUGCCUUGGUGCUCAAGUGAGCAGAGAUAUAAUUUGCUCCAAUAAAGGCAUAAUAACCCAUGGUGCUCCUUCUUGUAGUGGGACAAAUUGCCCAAUUGACAACACUAAACCCAUAAAUAGAUAUUAGACAGGUGGAAAAAUAAUGUAAACCAAAGUAAAAGUAAUAGCAUCAAUUAAGACUUUGUUUGAAUGAGAAGGCUUGUGUGCAAGAACUUGAGGUGUGGUAGUGGGAUUACUGUCAAGUAUCUUAGUUCUGGAAAGUAGGUCAUGUUUACAUUUAUGUUGAGACAGAAAAACUUUUUCAUCAAAAUAUUUAAACUCCACACCAAGAAAAUAAUGUAAUGAGUCAAGAUCUUUAAUUGCAAAUUCAUGAUUGAAUUUCUCAAGAAGACUUAUAAUAAAUUGGUUAUUGUUUCCUGUAAUAAGAACAUCAGCCACAUAAAUGAGAAGAACUAUAGUAAUGUCAUGAGUGCGAUAAAUAAAUAAAGAUGAGUCUACUUUGCUACAAUAGAAAUUAAGUUGGAGCAAAAAUUGUGAGAGGCAAUCGAACCAAUCAUGAGACACUUGUUUUAAACCAUGCACAUAAUGAUUUCUUUAAUAAACACACAUAAUUAGGAAAAAAAAUCAAUAAAUCCCAAAAAUUGCUCCAUGUAGACCAUCUCCUUUAAGUGCCCAUGCAAGAACAUGUUCUUUAUGUCCAACUAGCACAUCCUCCAAUUAAAAGAGAAAGAUAUAACUAUGACAAGAUGAAUGUUAGUUGGUUGAACCAUAGGAUUGACAGUUUUGUCGUAAUCCACUCUUGAUAUUUGUGUGAAACCUUUUACAACCAAAUUAGACUUAACAUGAUCAAUAGAAUCAUCUUCUUUAUAUUUAAUAUAAUAUAAAAAAAUGAGUAUUGCUUUGAAUAUGACUAAUAAUAACUGAAAGCCCAAAAGAGAACACCCAAAGGGAGAGUGGGGGUGAAUGAGUGAUUUCAAAAAUUUAAAACAAUAUUUGUAAAUUAUAAUCACUUUUCUUAUCCCAAGAUAUUAUAAGGAUAACCUGGAUAUUCAAAUAAAAUUUUACCCUAAUUAAAAAUCUGAUUUUUAUUGUUGAUAGCCAAAGAUUAAUUGUAUAUGUUGAACUAUGUUAGGGAUAAUAAUAAUCACUACCAGAAUGACCAACCUAACAAACUCAACAAAAAUUCCCACAAAUCAAUAAUUAGUUAUAUGUAUAACUACCAUAAGAUAACCAAUUCAGCAAACUCAACAAUCAGUUAAUCAAUCAAUCCAAUAUAUUUAAUAUCUUCAACCAGAAAAUAUGUAGGAAUAAAUAUAAACCUUUUAUAAUAGCUCUGCAAGAUAUUUGGUUAAAACAAAUUAACCCAUUCUAAGCAAUUCAAACCUUAUAUUAGAUAUAAAGAGACAUACAAUGAGACACAUGAUUUUUUACAUGGAAAACCCCCACAAACCUGUGAAGAUAAAAAACCACGAGGUUUAAGACCUAUUAAUCUAAAUCCACUAUUCGAAAUCAAGUCACACAGAUUUACCUGACUGUUUUACCCUAAAGACUUACUCUCCAAUACUUACAACUAGAUCUACGUCCACGACGCAACAACUACAUAUUGCUCCCAAGUAGAUCUUUCGGUCUCUUCGAAGGGAUUAUGGUCUUCAACCAACAAUUUAAAGAAUCAAAUCAUUGAAUGAAAGAAUGAGAAUGGUGUAGCAAAUUAGGCUUUCCUUUCAAAGAGUACCUCUAAAGAAUAGAAGGUCUCCAACAAACUCUAAAAUCUCUAUGAUUUUUAAACCUGAAUUUCGAAGCCCAAAACUCUAACCCUUAAAGGGUUACAAGAAAGGUAUUUAUAGGCAAAAACCAUAAGGAUUUCGGUAUUUCAAGUUUUCAAAUUUGAGUUUGAUUGAAAUUCAUUCAAAAUACAUUUCUAAACUCGGUAGGACUGACAUGACUGCUUGAGUGCUCUAAUUGCUUGAGCAAGAUUAACCGCUUGAGCGGUCCCUAUUUUUUAAAAAACAUUUUAAAAACUUUUUAAGCUAAAAAACGAUAUUGAACCUUUUAUACCUCAAAAGAGCCUAAUAUGCAAUCAGCCAAACCUUUUUAAAUGUACCUGUGAUUUCCCAAUUGGACAAACAACAACCUUUGAUAUUCAAUGGAAAACAAGUCACUAUCUAAAAAGACUUCUAUAAUCAAACAUUAAUUAGAACAAAAUUACCAACAUAUAGACAAGACUCAAUGUCCUAACAUAAUAUACUCAUUUGGAGACAACAACAUUGAUUCUAGAUGGUUGAGGAAUAAGCUCUCAUGUGUUAUUAUCAUGAAGGGUUUGACGUUCAUUUUCAUGGAAUUAGUACAACGUAAAUCCUUGAGAGUAGUUUUCAAGGUCUAUAAUUUAGAUGGAAUGAGAUCAUGCACACAAGAAGAGGUUGGUGAUGAAGUAGCAAGAGCAACAUAUAUAGUCACUGAGAUAAGAAAGUGACUUUCUGGCUUGAAUGGGUCAAAUUUAUGGCACUAACUUAGUUGGAAAAACUUGUGACGUGACAUUGUGUUCAAGUUAAGCUUAAAUGAAAGAAAAAGCACGUGCAAGACAUUCAUCUAUAGUUGGAAUUGAAUUAUCUAAAGUUAUAGUAGAUGGAGCCAUGAGAAUAGAAGUAGAAUUUAUAGGAGAAGUUAAGUUAGUUGUACCAUUCAAGCUAGGUUGAUUUUCUUCAUUAUUUCCUAUAAUAUUUGAAAUAUAAUUUGCAACAAAACCAAUGUUACAAUAAUAAGGGAAAAUAUUAUAACUUUCUUCCUCGAACUUUGUCAAACUUCUUGGAUUUUUUGAAUCAAUUGGGGAGGUAGUUUCCUUAUUAGUUAGUUGAACUAAACUAUUCUUUCAAAGAAAGAAAGUCAUACAUUUCCAAAUUUAUAGAAUUAUAGACCACAUGUAAGGACUUGUAAGGAAAGGUGCCUUCAUAAACAAACAGUUUAGAAAUAUAAACUUGCCUUAUUUGAGGUUUCAAGCAUCUAUAACCCUUAUGAAUCAUGCUAUAUCCGAGAAAGGUACAUGGAUAAGUCUUCUUGGUAAACUUUGAAUCACUUUGAUAAUAUAGUGAUGGAAAGCAUUGACAUCCUAGCACUCGUAAGCCACUAUAGUUAGGAUGCCUUUUACAAAGCUUAAAGUAAGGGCUAACAUUAUUAAGAGUUGAGGAGGACAAUAUGUUUAUAAGAUAACAAAUAUAAGAAAGACUUCAGCCCAAAGAGAUAAUGGCAAGUUGGUGCAAAAAAGCAUAGUUGAUCUUGUUUCAACAAUAUGCCGGUGUUUUUGCUCGACUAUUCUCUUUUGUUCAAGAGUUCUAGGACAUGAAACAUAUAAUUUUAUUCUACUAUUCUGAAGACGCUCAAGAAAAAUAUUAGAGCUAAUUUCUCCUAUACCAUCACAUUGAAAUACUUUAAUUCUUCAGUCAAACUAAUUUUCUACCAAUUUUUGAAACUUAUAGAAAAAGACAAAAAAUUCAAAUUUCUGUUUUGAAGGAUAAAGCCAUGUAAAUCAUGAAUAAUCAUCAACAAAUAUAACAUAAAUUGUAGUUACAUGAGCUAGACCCCAAAGAUUAUAUCUUAUCAAUAAGAAAUUUAGAAAGUUUAUUUGAAUAAUGAAAAUGCAAUUUACAACUCUUCUCCAUUUGACAACUAAUACAAAAAAAGGUUUUGUUAUCUAAUAGGUUAUAUUAAUAACUUUUUCUUUAAUAAGGAAAGAAUCUUGGAAUUUGGAUGUUUAAUUCGUUGAUGCUAAAUUGAUGAAGAAAUACCUUUCUUUAUUACACUAAAUAUCUCUUGAUAGUUUCCAUCCAAAGCAUAAAAUUGUCUUUUCUUAUGCUCCCUUGCUAUCAUCCUUUCAUUUUUAUCCUCAGCAAAAAAAGUUAGAUGAGGUGAAUUCAAAGUUACAUAAAUUAUAUGUAGUAAAUUUUUCAAUAGGUAACAAAUUUUUCUUCAAAUUAUGAACUACUAACCUAGCUUUUAAAUCCGAUUUUCCUUCAUUUUCAAGAAGACAAACAUCUCCAAUAUGAGAAAUAGGUAGACUAUUUCCAUCUACAACAUAAAUAACAUCAUUCUCAUCAUAUGAUUUAAUAUGAUAAAGUUUGCCUACAUUGUUUAUCAUGUGUGAGGUAGCACUCUUUUUAGCACCAAAGAGUUAUUAUCUUUGGACUCAAGAAGCCAAAAAAAUCAUUAAGCACAAGGGUCUUGCAAAAUCAUUGGUCAAUGAAGAAUGGUUUGAGUCACAAUAUGAUGACAUAUCUAGAACAAUGCUGAUCCCUAGUUGCAUAGAAGAUUCUAGUUAUGGUUUCCUUGAAAGAUGAUAAGUUUUUCAUAAAUGGUUCAUGAAAUUAGGCAAUCAAUCAAAGACUAUAGUGCACUACCUCAAAAUUGGAAGGAUAACUUGACUUGGUCAUCGAGAUGAGUUUCCCAUUGUGAGUGAACUAGUGUCUAUGGUUAUAUAUUAGACUAGACCUACAAUGAAUCAUAACAUUGGCUAUUGAAUAGUCAUGAUUCACCAAGUUAUAAUGUUGCAUGAGAUCCCCACUUUGAGAUAAUAUUGAUCUAAUAUUGAAGUCUUUAGUUAGUUUAACUUAUGGGUGAGAACCCAAGGUAGUUAUAUACUACUUAUGGAUUGGAUCACUAUUAAUUAAGACAAGUUAUAACAAAUAUUCUUAAGAUAAGCAUCAUGAUAUCUCAUGAGAUUGAGACAUGAUGACACCUUAGGUGAUCCAUGCAAUAAUUCUUUAAGUGGAAUUUGGCAUAUGUCAUUCGUGAACUAAAAGUAUGUCAGUUGAUCAUAAAAUAAGAAGAUAUAAAUCAUAGGGAUUGUAGAGGUAAUCUUAAGAGGUUGAUAUUAUCUACCUUAUUAGAUUACAAACACAAGAUUAUAGGAAGAUUGCAUGCAAUGGCAAGUUACAAACCUGAGAAAUUGAUUAAAUUGGUUUUAAUCAUUUUUAUUUUGAUAUAAUUUCAUUAUAUAUUGAAGUGAAAUUGACUUGUUUUAGUGAAUUAUUGAAUCAACUUUAGAAUUGCAUUAUAAAUGAGUCACUAUUUUCCUAUGGGUCCCAAUAGUUCUCACUCCAACUCAUAUUCUAUUUUGGCACAAAGUUUUGAGGUUUUAUGAAGAAUUAAUCAUUUAUGUACAUAAAGACAUUAUGGUAAAAGCAUCAGGUUGCAUAGGAAUUUAUGAUUAAUCAAGUUUGGUUUUUCUAGAUUGGGCUAAUUAAUUAAUUAUAGACUAUUUUACCUAAUUAAUUAAUUAGGACCCAAUGAGUUAAAUUAAGUGACCCAAACCCAAAAUGACUCAUGUGGCUCAAGCCCAUAAGGAAGUCUAUAUAAAGCCCUUUAGGGACUUAGGAUUAAAUUCUAAGCCAAUGUCUUCCAAAGAGCCUCCAUGUCUUUUUCUUUCUCUUUCUCUUUCUCUCUCUCUCUCUUUCUCACACCCUUACCCCCCACUCCCCCCACCCUAAAAAGGUUAUGUAGCUACUCUAUAUAAGUGUCAAAGCUCAAAAAAGGAUUGAUCAAGUGGAAGAUUGCUAGGUGGUCGAGAUCAUCUUCUAUAAGUGGAACUUGAUCUAGGAACAACUAAACAAAAGGUGAAAUUUCUACUUAGAUCUUUAUUUUUCACUUUUGUCUUCCAUUGUGAUUAGAUCUAGUGUCACUAGGUUGAUAAAGAACAUGUACCUAUGAUUUAAGGGUAUCCUAAUAAUUGGUAUCAAAGCCAAGUUACAAAAAACAUGCUAAAUCCAAUCUUAGGCAUUCGAACUCUGUUUUGUAGGGUGUUUGUAUUCAUCAUGUAGCAAAAAUGGAUGAAUGUAUGGUUUUAUUUUUAUUUUUUAUUUUAUAUAUGAAUGUAAUAAUUAAUAUAUGGAUUUUUUUUGUUUCUUUAGAUUGGGUUUUGAACUCCAUAAGGAGAAUAAGAUUUUUAUUUCUAAUGUAAUUUUUUUUCCUUUUCUUAGAUAGGUUGUAACCUCGGUUUAAAGAGCAUAGGAUUUUAUUUUAUUUUUUUCAUGUUAUAUAAAAUCUCUACUUUAAUCUUAUUGGGAUAGAAGCCUUAAAAGUAUGAUAUGAUGUAACAAUAAAUGAAAUUUAUUAAUAUUUAUAUUAUGAUUUCGGUUCUCCUUUCUCUACCCCAUUUAUGUUUUAUACUAUUGAGCAUUUAGGCCUUACAUCUCUUGCAUUAUACAUAACUUAGAUGCAUUAGGAGUUGCUUGAAAAUCAUAGUCAUAAAUUCCUUACAACUAAAUGAUUUAUGAACAACUAGUUCAUAGACUUAGACAAUCAAUUUAAGGUUGUAAUGAAUUAGCUCCUAAUUGAAGGGGAUGAAUAGUCUUAGUCAUUGGGACGAGUUUUUGAAGGUGAAUUUAAUAGGGUGUAUGGUUACACAAGAUAAUAAAGAUUAUAAAUAUUAUAAAAACAUUAAAUCGAGUUUGAGUUAAGCUCAUAUUGUUCGAAUUUUGAUCCAAGCCCAACCCAAAUUGAGUUCAAGUUGCAAAACUUAACCCAAACUCAACCUAAGUAUUGAAAAUGCUUGCACAAGCUUGCCCAAACAUUGGGUUGGGUUUAGGUUGCGUCAGGCCAACCCAUCCAAGUUGUACCCCUAUUUGUUUCUUAACCCUAGAUCAUGUAGGGUACAUGUAUACUAUUCCUAAGCUUUCUAGAUUUGCCAUAGUGGACAUAUAUGACAAUGAAAACCAUGAUAUGUUAGAAAUCUAGAGAAGGAAAACACAUACUUGGGAUUUAAAUAUUCUUAGAUUGAAUUCAAUCCAAUAAAGAUAGUUUGUAGGCAUUGUGGAUCUCGUAGACCCAACAAUCUUCCACCCAAUUUGUCCCUUCAUGAAUAUUGAUAUAAGAGAAAGGUGAGUUUCCCUUUCUUUAGAAGGGUGGCCAGGAAGAUGUCAUUUUACUAAAAUUUGCAUCAUGAAAUUAAAUUAAAGUGUAAUUGAAAUUUAAAAAGUCUCAUGAUUAAAUUGCUAAUAUUUUUAUUAAACUUCUUCAUUAUAAAGAGUAUAAAGGCUAAUGAUACUAUUUGGAGUCACAAAUCAAGUUGAAGGGUACAUAUUAGAAAGUAAAUUUUAAAAAUUAGAUUUGAUCUGGUUUCUAAAAGUUAGUUGCAAUAUGUUUUUUGAUUUGAGUGGUAUAUUUAGGUUUUAUAUUUAAGUAAUUGAGUCUUAAAAGUUUUCAUAUUUUUUGUUAUUAUGAGUUUUUAUUUUAUUAGGUAUAAGCAUCUAUAAAUAUGAGGUUAUAAAAUAGUUGAAUAAGAAUGAUUGAAGAUACAAAGUAUUUCACUCAAUUUUCUCUCCUUAAAUAUCCUUUUUAUGUUAUUGUUUGUGUGAUGUGCUCCAUCACUGCAACAAAUACAUGAUACUUCUACAAAUUCAGAAAGACAAAAGUAGUAGGACCAUAUUCAGUGCUGUUGUUUUUCCUUCUUGCAGCAAAGCGUCUUUUAAAUAUAAAACACUUUGACCCACCACCAGCGGAUAUAGUGUGCCAUGCCCUCUGAAGAUUUCAGGGGAGAGUGCUAACUCUGAAGAGUCUUAUCAGCCAAAGGAUGAAACCCAAAUCCUAACAUACAACAUCCAUGAAAGGCCUUUCAUUAUAAUGGCUGCUUUAGAGUGUUUCAGCCUCUAAAUCAUGGAUUUUCAACUUAUCAAGGGAAGUGUUUAUCAAGGUUUAAAUCUUUUUUUUUUAAAAAAAAAAAAAGAAAAAGAAAAAAGGGAAAAAUCUUAGAAAGAAAAGAAAUAUAUACCCAUAACAUAGAGAUCACCAUCAAUAGCUAGUAGCAGAUAAGGACAAUCUAGAACGGCAUUAUCCUAGCCUGCAAAGAAAUCCAUAACUGUCUAGUUCUGCUACAGACAUGUGUUUUCUGUAUGAAAUGUUCUGCAACCAGUCAAUUUCAUUGUUAAAUAUUCUGAUUUGACUGAACACUUGAAAUUGGUAGAUUAAGCUAAUCCAGUAGAUUAUUAAUUAGUAACAUUUAAAUAAAUUGAAUAAGCCCAUUUAGUACAUUCUAGUCCUGCAAAUCAACCCAACAUCAUCAUAGAAGCAUAUAUCAAUCUCUGAGUAAUCCCUAACAAUCUGUUCAUAAAUAAUGAUGGGUUUGAGUUCUAUGGCUCCACAUUAAGCCAGAAGAUUAACUAGAUCUCCAUUGGAUCCAAAUCCAAACUGCAAAUAUAUCAUGUUUCCAAGAUCAUUUUAUUUCAGUGCUGGCCUUUAAGGAUACUUUAGUUCCUAUUUUUCAACUUUUAUUGCUGUUUUAAACUAAAAGCAUGGGCUGGAAUAUUACUUGGAUUUGGAUUAACAUCACUUUGGUAUCGAUCUAGUGUCCACUCUGUGGUUGGAGCAGAUACGAGGGUUUUCACAAAAGAUAUUAAAGUCAGAAGAUCAAACAUGAAGCUCAGAAAAUCAUUCUAAUAUGGAGACUGAAAAAAGCAAGUGAUUUAAUCACUUUUUCCAACUGUAGGACUUGUGGGCAAUGGAUUUCAUUAACUACAUGAAAUUUCAGGACUCAGCAAACUUUGCCUGAAAAUACAAGAAGAUCAACUAACUACAGUACAGUGCAUUUACAAGUUAAGAAAGAUAAAAAAUAAGUAAAUAAAUUAAAGACAGUAUAAGUCCUUUUUCUCUAGCACAUAUCCAUUAACAACCACCACUGUACAUGGAUAUGGAUGCUCUGAGUAAGUCUACACUACACAGAUAACUGCAAGGAUCUGUUUACCAUGUCACUCUACAUUAAUUGAAAGAUUUUGAUCACCGGCUGUUAGAACUAUUAGAACCCAGCUUGUUGCUUCUUGGAUUGAUGAAUUGAUGAUCCCACAGUCACUUACAGGCUAAUAUGUGGAAGAGUCCAGCAGCAAGAAAGUGAGCCUUGAACCCUAUUUUUACCUCCUUGAAAUGGCUGCUUUUACUGCGUUCAUGCUUCCAGGUGUGAAUUUUCUACCUACCUCAGAGAGAGAAGAAAACAUACUUCAAAACCAAAGAGCUAUUACAAAUGAGUAUGACCCUGUCUAAGAAAAGUUAAUAGACUUCCAAAAGUUAAAUAGAUCAAACACCCACAGAUCAUUUUGAUAUAUAUGAUUCAGGCAGUAUUAGCAGAUCAAAAAAGACAAUGAAAAUACACGGAUAAGUAUUACUCGAUACAGUAAUAAAAUCCACAACUACAAUCUCAGUUCUGCUUCAGACAUGCACUUCCUCAAGACUUUGAGCUUGAUCUGCGCAAAGAGAGAAGAAAGGUACAGAAUAUGAAGCAUAUCAUCAAAGAUAAACGGGGGAAGAGAGAGGGUACAGCUUCCAUUGCUCCAUUACGGGGAGCAAGUAUAGCUGUACUCUCUCUCUUCUCCUGCAGGUCUUGAUGGACACCAGCAUGAACAUGCAAAUGCCUUUCCUUCUCUGGUCUAUAAAUAAGUAGAGAGGUUUUCUUUCUCUUGGUGGGUAAUUGAUAAAGCUAUUGAAGUACCCAUGUUCUUCUUGGGAGUCUUAACUUUUUGGGCCAGGCCACUACUCACCAAACGACAUGUUUAAUAAUUCAAUGAGAUGAAGACUAAAGAGUGCAACUUGAAGCUUCCCAAGGGUCCAUCGGACCCAUGCAGGGUUGUACACAUUUAUAUAAUUAAUCAGAUUGAGUGUUGGGCCCUUUCUUGGAAAGUUAUAUUGGGCAAGGCUGUUUCUUUGUACCAACUUGGAUUAGAAAUUGAUUGGUUGCUCAGAAAAAUGAAGGAUGUAUGACUCCCAACCUAUAAACACAUAAUGGCUAUGAGACGGAGAGACAUACAUUAAAACUACUAUUUGAUCCAAAAACUUCAGUUUACAGACAAUGAAUCAGUAAUGUACAUUAAGCUAAUUAACAUCUUUUUUUCUUACAUGGUUGAGGCUCUGCAUGGUAAGAUAAUUAAGCUAACACGAUUCUUCGCAUGGAGAGGCAAAUAAGGCUAACUCUCUUUCUCAUGAAACAGAAAUUAUCAAUAGUAGGAAGAUGGAUAAAGACUAAAAUUUUAAAUGAGUGAUUACUCAUAAACAAGAUCAAAAUAUUGGAAAAUGCGAAAAUAUUGAUGGUUAGAUUUUACAAAUAUAUUCAAAAUUAAUAUCAAAUGAAAAAAAAAUAUAUACAGGGUGAAAAUGAAUCGAAACCCAUAAAAAUAUUGGGAAAAAACUCUAAUAAAUGAUAUGAUAAAACCGAAGAUUUUUUUUAAAAAAAAAAAAAGAAAGAAAAAUGAAAAAUACAGGAGAUGGAGAAGGAGUUUAAGAAAAUGAUGAAAUAAAAUUCUAUUUACUUUGUCUUCACGUUUGAGCAAGGCACUCAGUCAUGUAUUAACAUACAAGAGUUCAACACAAAAAAUAAGAUGAAUACAACAGUAACAAAUCAAUCAACUCCAAAAAUUUUGUUUUAUUUGUUUAGAAAUUAAUAGGUAAAGCCUUUAGUUAUGUAGGACAAAUUGUCAUAUUUGUUAUAAGUUUUUUUGCCAUGAAAUGUGGGAUCUCUGGACCGUUUGGAAUCAAAAUGUAAUAUUUUGUUGACUUCCUCUUUUUGUUUUGUUUUCUACCACGAUCUUCAUCAAUAUCAAAUUUAUUAUUUUUGGUAAGUGAAACAAAGACUUUAUCAAGCCCUCUCAAGCUGGGGAGAGGAAGAUGAUGAACACCCAACUGGACCUCAAACUCCUUGAAAGAUUUCUUUGAAAGUGAUUUAGUUAAAAUAUCUGCAAUAUAUAAUGAAGAAGGAAUAUACUUGGUAACAAGAUUGCCAAAAGUAACUUUUUCCCAAACCAAAUGGUAACUAAGUUCAAUAUGCUUGGUGCAAGCAUCAAAAACAGGAUUUUUUGUCAUGUGAAAUACAGUACGAUUAUCAUAGAACAGUGAGGUGUACGUUUGGGUGAUGUGAAGUACAAGGUCAUGCAAGAGAUAACUAAUCCAUGUUAAUUCAAUGACAGUAGAAGCAAAUGCGUGAUAUUUUGCUUCGUGCUACGUCGAGUAGUAGUAGUUUGCUUCUUGGAAGACCAAGAGACAUAAUUGGAACCAAGGAAGAUACAACUAUCUAUAGUACUUGGCUAGUGAGAUAUCUGACCCAAUCUACAUCACAAAAACCAUUUAAUGUUAGAGAACUUUGAGACAAAAUUUGAGUGACAUAGUUGAGAGUAACUAUGAGACAUCGAAGGAUGUGUUUGACAGCAUUCUAAGGUUGGAAUAGAAGUGUUGAGGAAAAUGUUAGUAAAAUUUAGUUAUAGCAUGAGUAAUUUAGCUAUAGCAUGAGUAAUAUUAGGGCAAGUAAAGGUGAGGUAUUAAAGGGCGCCAACUAUGCUUUGAAAUUCAAUUUUGUAGAUUCGAAUAUGAUCAUCCGGUUGGCUUGAUGGUUUAAUUGCAAUUGGAAUCGAUAGAUGAGAUGUGACUCAAGUAUGUAUGCAUAGAGAACGUCUUUGGUGUAUAUUGCUUGGGAGAGGAAGAUGGUGCUAGUGAAAUGCUUGACUUCAAUUCCAAUGAAUUAGUGUAGGACUCUAAGAUCUUUGAGAGCAAUUAAAUUUAUGGCUGAGUUUGUGAAUAAUAAGAGUGGUGUUGCAUCCUAUUAUAGGAACAUCAUCAACAUAAAUGAAGAAUAGAAUUAGGUUGUUCUUUUAAAUGAAUAAAAACGAAUGAGCUUUGUUGCAAGAAAAACUAAGUCUGAGAAAAAACCAUUGAGAUAAACAUUCAAACCAAAGCAUCACGUACUUGUUUUAAACCAUAAAAGUGUUUAUUUAAUAAACAAACAUGAUGGGAAAAUAUGGAUUGAUAAAAUCUAAGGUUGUUUCUAUACACAAGUUCUUUAAGGAAACCAUAUAUAUAAAAAUGAAUUUUUGACAUCAAAUUGCUUGAUAGUCCAAUGGGAGACAAUGACUUGAGAGAAUAAUGCAAAUGGACGUAGGUUUGACCACAAGGCUAAAAGUUUCAUCAUAGUCUAGCCCAAGAUCUUGAGUGAAACCCCUUGGAUCAAGCAUUGUAGCGCUCUCUUGAGCCAUCUUCCUUGUAAUCAUGUGAUAGACCCAUUUGGAAUCAAUAAUAUCAAUGUUAAUGAGAUGCCAAGUGUUAUUUGAGUAAAGGGCUAUGAGCUCUUCUUGCAUGGCCACUAGUCCUCACACAAAAGGUUGAACUUAUUAACAAUAACUUAACCACCAAGCUAAUAAGUAUAUACCAAAUCCAAGUAAAUCAAUGUUAAUAAAAAGUAAUAAGUAGUCAACUUCAUGCAUAUUGUUGUUCUUAGCAUUCUUUCAAAGUUACUAACUUCAAUAAUGAAAUUUUUUAACUCGAUCUAUCAAUACUACUAAAAAAUGCUCUACAUCAUAAACACUUGCAAGUGAUAAAAAUAUGAUGAUAUAGAGGAUAGAAAAUGAGAAACAUGUGAUGCCCUACAUCGAAUAAGAGAAAAAAAAUUUGAGACUAUAUAAACAUGAUCUCUUUUUAACCUUAUAAACGUAUUUUAAAGUCAUGAAGAUUAAUUGGAUUCAAAAUGGACAAUAUUUAUAUGAUUGAGAGCAAAUUGUUAUAAAUGCUAUCAAAACUGAUUCUCAACCCCAGUGUGGGGGUUUGUUUAGCCUUAUAAUCUUAUGGGAUACAAUAAAGAUUUUAUAUUUGUAUGAUGGGUGAUUAUGUUGUCCCAUAUGGAAAAACAUUCUUGAAAUUAUAUGAGUUCCUCUUAAAUGUAUACAUGUGUUUUAAAGUCGUAAGGUUUAGGUUUGAAGCUGACAAUAUCUAGACAAUUAAGAGCAAGAUUUGACAAAAAAUGCAUGUGGCCAUUAGCUCUUUUAAUAUUGGUGUGAAAUGAGAUUUUAUCAAUUUUGUGGUGAAGUUUAUAGUCAAGCCAACUGCUAGAAACAGAAAAAUCUAUGCCCAAUAAUUCUUCCAUUCUAAAGGUAUUAUGAGGUCUAAAGAAAAAUCACAGCUGACUUUGGUUGAUCAGAUGGCUCCUAACAAAGAGAGAAUUAAAACAGUUUAUUGGUGAGAUAAUUGUUCAAAACUUCACGCAAGAGGUCAAACGUACAGGUGAAGGAGCCGGGGUUGAUAUGGACAAAAAACUGGAAGCAUUUAAGCACUCAAUUAUUAAAAAGUAGAUGUCGGGUGCAACAAUGGCCUCUUCUGCGAGUAAGAAAUUUUUGUGUCCCUUCAUAUAACCGAAAGACAGUAUAAAAUAAAAAGUAAAUUUGUCGUAUCCUAAAAUUUAAAGGAAAAAAGAAAAAGAAAAACAGAGAAUACAAGCCUAUUUGGAACAGUAUUUAAAAACAGUUUUUUUUUUUAAAUAAAAAAUUAUUUUUUAGACUAAAAAACAAGUUUAGUAAUAUUUUGACACAGUUUUUGGAAAAUUAUUUUAGUGAUAUUUUGAAGGAGGUUUUUUUUAUAAUUUAAAAUAUUAAAAACAUUUUAAAAUAAAAUACUAUAUGUAAAAGUUAAUUUUAAAAAAAUAUUUGAAAAUAUAGAAAACGAUUAAAAUAUUUCAAGUUUUGAAACAAACUUCUAUUUGAGAAAAAUUUAAAUAUAUGAAGAUUAUCUUUUAUAACUAUUUUAAGAAAAAGAAAAAUUGGAUAAUUGUUUUUGAAAAGAUACCCAAACAAGCCUUAUAUAUUCUCAUAAUUUAAAGUCCCAGCAUCUAUUACUAACAGUCCUUUAGGUAAAUCUGCCUAUGUUAUAUUUGAUUCUAGGAAAAUUUAAAGGAAAAUGCAAAAGAAAGAAAAUAAAUAGAAAAGUAAAAAUAAAAAUAAUGAAGAAAAAUAAAAAACAGAAUAAGGUCUAUAAAUUAUUUUUAUUUGCUACUCCAAAUCCAAUUUAUUUAUUCUAAUUCAUCAAUACAAAAAUUAAAUAAUUUGAAAAUGCACAAGAUUCUAAAUAAUUUUAAAUAUAUUUGAUUUUCUUUGGAAUUUUUCACAAUACAGUCAAUCAUAAAAAAAAUAAAUUUUUUCUUUCCCAGAAUCAAACAUAACCUCAGAAUUCGUGCUAAAUGACACGAAUAAGUUAUUGGUUUAAAAAAUAAAAAAUAUUAAGUACAAGACACAAUGAAAUUUUUUAAUCCUUUGAUGGACUCAAGGGAAUUCCACUCCUUUCCUCAAUUUUUCUUUUCCUACUUUUCUAGAACAAAGCAAUAAGAGCUACGAAUAUAAAAUAAUGAAUUUUGAAAUAAAUGUCUUAGGAUAAACAAGGAUUCUAUUAUUAGAUGAGUUUCAUGUAUGGGAGGAACGGAUGGAUGAUGGAGAAGAUAGGAGGGUGAAAACUUAUAGAAAUAAAAUCUGAAUAUUUGGAACAAGUUGGUAGAAGGACAAACCCAAAAUUGAAAAUAUCUACACCAAGUACCGACAUAUAGAACAUGCAAAGGUACUAUGUAAGCUGGCUGGUGGUGUUUUUUACCUUUUUUAUUUUCACUUGGUAAUGAUGUCUUCUUGUGGUGGAUCCCUGCAAACGAUUUUAAAUCAAUCACUGCAACUCAUUUGUUGUACAUUUGCAAGUGUUGGGGGCAAAAAUCGUGAGUUAUGGAUGUGUCAAAGUUGACUUACCCCUGCAUGCUUCCUUUCUGGUCUGCAAAAAACUUAAGACACGUCUCGAUGUCCCAAAGUAGUAAGGAAAGAAAAAAAUAUCCUAAGGAAAACCAUUCACUACGAAACAUAAGAUAAAAAAAUAAUCAAACAUAAUUAUAAUUUGUUUUUAAAAUUGGCCAUUUUUAAAUUAUUUAAUCAAAAAAUAAAAAUAAGUUUCAAGCAGUAUAUAAUAUUAAUUUAUUGAUCUUAAAUUUAUUAUUGUUUGUCUUCUAGCUUUUUUUUCUAUUUUCUUUUCUUUAGAUUUUUCUUCAAAUUUUUCAGGAAGUAAAUAUAAUCUUAUUGAUUCAACAAAAUCGAUCAAAUUAGAUUGAACUUAUCAAUUUUUAAAGAUGUUUUGUAGGAAUCCUAAUUAAAGUAAAACUAUAUUUUCUUAGUAUAUUAGUAUUAUUAAUUUGAGUUUGAUUCCUUUUAGGAUUUGGAAUCCUAAUUUUAUUAGGAGUUUUUUUAUUUAUUUAUUAAAAUUAGGUUUCUAUAAUUUUUAAUAUAUAUAUUCCAAAAUAAUGGAAAGUUAUGUGUGCUAAAUUUUAUAUAAUUAUUUAUCAUCCCCUUUAUUAUUUUUUUUAUCCUUUGUUGUGCGGAGAAUUAAUUGUUCUUAUGUUGAAAAGGUGCAUGGGGCAUCUUUAUGAACACCUACAAAAGGGUAAAGAAUGUGCAAAGGGUACAAUUAUAGACUUUGAGAAGACAGUUCAAGCUUCUUCAAAUGGAGAAAAUAGAAAGAGUCUUCAACUACUUUUUGUGGACAUUGGCUCUUAUCAAUCAGAUGAUAUCUAAUGGUGAAAAUGUUUCAAACUUCAAGUUUUGAAAAAAAUUCUUCAAGCCUUAACCAUGCAAUUCGAUUAUAAGGUAACAACAAUUAAAGAAUCAAAAUAUUUUAGUACAAUAACGUUGGAUGAAUUGAUAGGUUAAUUUCCUUGCAAGCCCAUCAACAAUCCAUAGAUGAAAGGUCCCAGAUUGAGGUGGAAGAAGCACUACAAAGCCAAGUAAGUCUUAGAAAAGAAAAAGAAGCCUCAAAAUAAUUCUAAAUAAAGUAAAAAAGGUCGGAAUUUGCAAAACGGGGAUAAGGGAAUUCCAGAUCAAGUGCAAAAGAAGGAAGAGGUAAUAUUUCAACUCAAAAAAAAUAAAUCUCAUAUCCAAAGUUAUAACCUUAAAAUAUAUGAUCAUUACAAGUUAGAAUGUAGGGCUAGGAGACAUAAUGAGAGAAAUUUUCAGGCCAAUGUUAUAAAAUGUAAAGGUGAAAAUUCAUAAACCUUGUUAUUAGCCUGUAACGUUGGAAAGGAUGAGAACAAAAGUAUAUGGCUUUUGGACAAAGGUUAUAGUAUUCAUGUGUGGUAGGUAAGAGAUGUUUCCUUAGUUGGAUGAAACUUUUAAUUCAGAGAUAAAAUUUGGGAAUGACACAACGAUACCAAUUAAAGGUAGAUGUAAGAUUUUCAUUAAAUUGAAGGAUGGAUCCCAUAAUUUUAUCUCUAAUAUGUAUAUGUUCCAAGUCUUUAUCAAAAUCCAUUGUAUCGGACAACUUUCAAAAAAAGGGUAUGAUAUGAGGAUCUAAGGGCAUUUGUACCAUCUAUGAGGAUCAUAAAGGACAAAUAGCAAAGGUAAAUAUAAUGAAUAAUAAUUUAUUUCCGUUAAAUAUUAAUUGUGAAAAUUUACCUUGCUUUCAUUCUGUAAUUAAUGAUAAAAAUUGGUUAUGACACUCACAUUUUGGACAUUUAAAUUUUGGAAGUAUAAAAUUACCUGUUACUAAGAAGAUGGUUUUUAGGUUACCUUUUAUUGAUUCACCAAAUGAAGUUUGUGAAACAUGUGUUUUGGGAAAGAAACAUAGAGUUACUUUUCCUUCAGGAAAAUCAUGGAGAGGUAGGAAGCCUGUCGAGUUGAUUCAUUUAGAUCUAUGUUAAGUGAAAAUUCUCUCAAAUGGAGAUUACAGGUAUUUUAUAACAUUUAUCGAUGAUUUUAGUUGAAAGGCUUGGAUUUAUUUUUUAAAGCAAAAAAGAGAUGCAUGUGAAAACAAAGUGGGCAUACCAUUAAAAUUUUGAGAACAGUUAGAGAUAUUGAAUGUAUUGCCUGUGAUGAUUUUUUGAAAAAAUAUGGCAUUGAACAUCAAUUGACUGUAAGGUACACUCUGCAACAAAAUGGAAUUAUAGAGAGAAAAUAUAGAACAAUUAUGGAUAUGGUGAGGUGCAUGUUACACUUAAAACAAUUACCUAAAAUAUUUUGGGUUGAAGCAGUCUCUUGUGUAAUUUAUUUAUUGAAUAUGUAGGUGUCUCACUAAAAGUGUUUAUGGAAAGACUCCACAAGAAUCUUAGAGUCAUAGAAAGCCCAACAUUGGUUAUCUAAGGGUGUUUAGCUACAACAUAUGCUUAUGUUCUUGAUGAAUUAUGAAAAAAACUUGAUGGCAAAGGUGAAAAGUGAAUUUUUAUUGGUUAUAUCCAAAUAACAAAAGACUAUAAAUUAUAUAAUCCACAAACCAAGAAGGUUAUUCUCAGUUGUGGUGUGGUUUUUAAUGAGCAAACAACAUGGGAUUGGUCCUCUAAUGAAAAAAGACCAUCAAGCAUUUAAAUUCAUCUUAAAGAGCAAAGUGAAUAUCAAAGUAUGUAGUCUACUUGUGCACCAAUUAUGACUCUAUGUCUUAUAGAGUCAUCAAGGCCUCCACAAUGUCAACAUGUUUUACCUACACACUUGCAAAAUUAUGCGUUUGGUGAUGACAAUGACCCAACAAAUGAAUAAUUAAUGAAUUUUGUUUUAUUUGCAUAUUGCGAUCCAUUAAGUUAUGAGGAAGCUACUCAAGAUGAUUGUUAGCUCAAAGCUAUGGAUAAAGAAAUUCAUGCAAUUGAGAAAAAUAAGACAUGGAAACUUACUAAUCUUCCUAAUUCUAAGAAGUCAAUUGGUGUAUAAAACCAAGUACAAGACAAAUGGAGAAGUCAAUCACUUCAAGGCAAGAUUGGGGGUAGAAGGUUACAAGCAAAAACCAUGUAUUAAUUAUUUUGAGGUAUUUGCACAUGUCGUUAGACUUGACACUAUUCGUAUGAUUAUCUUACUGCACAAAACAAUUGGAAAAAUCUUCAAAUGGAUGUAAAUCGGUUUUCUUGAAUGACAAACUAGAACAAAAGGUUUAUGUUGAACAACUUCAAGAUAUGUGAUAAAAAGGGUAGAAGAAAAUGUUAUAAGAUAAAAUAUAUAUAUAUAAAAAAAAAAGAGCCUUAUAUGGAUUGAAAUAGGCACCAAUAGCACGUAUUGAUACUUAUUUCAUGAUGAAUGGAUUUCAAAGAGGUCCUUAUAAACACACUUUAUAUGUCAAAUCUAAUUUCUAAGUUGGCAUUCUUACUAUGUGUUCUUAUAUAAAUGAUUUAAUUAUCGCUAGUAAUAAUUUGGAGAUGACUACAAAAUCUAAUGAUUAGUCAAUUUGAGAUGCCAAUUUUGAGAUUAAUGUCCUAUUUUCUUGGGAUUGAAGUAAUUCAAGUAGAUAACGGUAUCUUUAUUUUUCAGAAGAAAUAUCUAAGUAAUAUUCUUAAAAAAAUCAAGAUGAAAUCAUGCAAUUCUAUUCUAACUAUAGUUGAAGAAAGAUUGAAAUUAGGAAAAGAUAACUCUAGUGAGUUAGUUGAUCCUACUAAUCUUAGGAGAAUGGUUGGAAGUUUACGGUAUUUGACUUCUACAAGACAAGAUAUUGUAUUUGGAGUUGGACUUGUAACUAGAUUCAUGGAAUCUCCAUGUUAGUCUUACUUGCAAGCAGCAAAGCGUAUCCUAUGAUACAUUAAAGGUACGCAAAGUGGUGGUAUUUUUUAUACAUAUGGCAACCAAAUUGAGCUUGUUGGAUACACAAAUAGUGAUUAAGCAAGUGAUGUUGAAAAAAAAAAAUGUACUUUGGGCUAUGCAUUUUAUCUUGGCUCAAGAGUUUUUUCUUGGUUAUCUCAGAAACAACAGGUAAUUGCUUUAUCAAUAGUAGAAGCAGAGUAUAUUGCAGUUACUAGUGGCACAAGUGGUAUAGUUGCACCGAAUUCUUUCUGACUUAAAGCAAACUCAAGAAGUUCCCAUAAAGAUUUUUUGUGAUAAUAAAUCAAUAAUCAUGUUGACCAAGAAUCCGGUUUUUCAUGGAAGAAGCUAACAUAUUUACUUGAAAUUUCACUACAUUCAUGAUUUGGUGAAAGACAAAGAAAUUAUGUUAAAGUUUUGUUCUUUUGAAAAUCAAGUUGUAGACAUUUUUACAAAGCCAAUCAAGAUAGAAACUUUGCUCUAGUUGAAGAAGAUGAUGGAUAUGAGGAAAUUUAAAGAUCUUGGUUAAGAAAGGUAAUGUAAGAAUCCUAAUUAAACCAAGACUAUGUUUCCUUAGUAUAUUGGAAUUAUUAAUUUGAGUUUGAUUCUUUUUAGGAUUUGGAAUCCUAAUUUUAUUAGGUGUUUAGUUUUUUUUAUUUAUUAGAAUUAGGUUUCUGUAAUUAUUCCUCUAUAUAUAUAUAUAUAUAUCCAAAAUAAUGGAAAGCUAUGUGUGGUAAAUUUUAUAUAAUUAUUUACCAUCCCCUUUAUUUAUUUUUUAUCUUUUUUGUGUGGUGAAAUUGUUCUUAUGCUGGAAAGAUUAUUUUUUGGUUGCUCACACGUUUUAAUAGUUUCAGUUUUCUAAAUAGAAAAACCUAAACUACAUUAGUUUGGUUCAUAAUUUUCUAUUUAAAAAUAUAUAUAGAUCAUGUUUGGUUCUCAUUAAAGUAUUAAGAAAAAAAAAAGUGUUAAGAAAAAUGAUUUUUUUUUAUAUUUGGUUUUACAAUAAAAAAAUAUAAAAGAAAAUCAAACAUAAUUAAAAUGAAUUAUAAAUAUAUAUUUUUAAAUUAUUUAAUCUUUAUGUAGAAAAGUUAAAAUAAGUUAAAUAAGUUUAAAGUAAGAUAUAAAUUAUUUAAUCUUUAAAUCUUUAUUUAAUCUCGUAUUUUCUUUCAAAUUUUCCUAGAACCAAACAUAAUUAUAAUAAAUUGAGCCAAGAUAAAAGUUAUAUACACCCCUAUGAUCAAAGAUUAAAAUAUCAAAAACUACAAAAAUAUUGGUGGCUAGAGUUUAUGGAAAUAUCAUACAUAAGUUCAGAAAAAAAAAAAAUAUGAGUAGGAUAUAAAUCAAUCAAAAUUCAUAAAAAUAUUAAUAAAAACUCAUAUAAAUGAUAAUACAUCUAUUGAAGUUAUUUUAUUAAAAAAUAUAUAUAUAUAUAUAUAUAUAUAUAUUAUAUAAUCUGUAAUAUUUGAGAAUAAUAUCACAUGAGAUAACGAGAAAUAUGAUUUUUUUAAGUAUGCACAUAGUAUGUUUAAUAAUAAAUGUAGACAUAUUUAAUUUGUUUAGAGAAAACAAUAUUUGUAUGAUAAAGUUUUUGACAUUGAACAAUAACAUGUGUAUUUUAAAAUAAAUUUAAUAUUAAAAUAAUGAUAGUAAUUUUUUAAAAUAUGAUUAAUGAGAUAAAUGAUGAUAUAUUUAAUAUUUAAACUAUAUUUAUUUAAUUCAAAUGCAUCCAAUAAUGUAAAAUGAAUGAUGAUGCAUAUGUGAUUUUUUAAUAUUUAUAUUUUUUAUAUUUAAUUAUCAUAUAAAUGAUAUAAAAAAAGAUUUAUUAAGAAAAUUAUAAUGUUGGUUUUUAUAUUUUUAUUAAUUAAUUAAAUAAAAAUUAAAAUAAAAUAAUUAGAAUUAUUAUUAUUUUUUAACAAUGAACUUUAACAUAUUUAAAUUAAAUAUAUAUUAACAAAUGAGGUCUUUGGCCAAUGGUAGCCAAGGUUCAACCCUAGCCAUUUGGCCUGGAUCAGUUUUUCCGGAAUCGAUUGAAAAACUUUUUUUUUUUUUUUCCUCAUCAAAGUGACAUCGUUUUGAUGCAUCUAGCAUCGAAACGACGCUAUUUUGGGUCACUAUAAAGGCUUUCAUUUGUUCCCCUAGCAAAACCCUUUGCUUCUCAGUUCUUCUCUAGGCUCCAUCGCCAGUGCCGACGUCCUCAACUAAUGAGGACACCACCGACAACCCGACAACUACGCCGCCAACAGCCCUUCAACAAAUGAGUAGCAUUUCUCCAUUUUCUUUAUAUUUUAUUUAUUUAUUUACAUUUUCAAUUUAUUUAACUUUUUUAUUUUUAAAAUUUGUUAUUAGAAUUUAAAUUAAUGAAAUCUUUGAAAACAAUAGGAAUUAAAAUAAAUUUCUGGAAAUAAUCAAACAUUGUGUCCCCAUUUUUAAAUAAUGUUAAAAUAAGUUUAUAAUUUAAAAAUAAAUUUUAAAUUAAAAUCCAAUUUUAUAUAUUGAUAAAAAAAAUUAUUUACGAAGAUGGUAUUAUAAAAUAAAAUAGUGAAAUAAAAAAAUUCAAAAAGUAUUUACUUCAUAAUAUUAUUAGUAAUAAAGAAAAAAAAUGUAUCCAUUUAUAGGGCAAAAUUUAGAUUUCUUUGAUUUUAAUUUUGUACAAGUCGAUAGACUAAAAGUUUUUUUUUAUAAUAUUUUAUUUUUAUUAAGUAUUAAAAAUAAAAAAAUAAAUAUGUUAUUUUUUAUUUAGAACAAAUUAAAUAUUUUAGUUUUUUUUUAUUCAGAUAAAAUUUAUAAUAAAUUAUAAAAAAUUAUAAAAAAUAUAUAAAAAGUAAAUAAUUUAAAAUUUAAAAACCAAAUUCUUCGAACAAAAAAUUAAAAAAACUAACACUCUCCUUUAAGGUAUGAAAAAAAAUCUAAUUUACUAUUUAUUAAUUUUAAAUUUAUUGAUAUUUUAUCUAGUUGUUUACUUCACUCGUGCUUUUGGUGAUGACUAAGGUGAAGGAUUCCAAUUACUCAGCUCUAGGACUCUUAUAAUUUAUAGGAGACUCAAUAGGGUGACCCAUUCUCAAACAUCAACCCACCAAUUUUGAGGCAAGCUCAUUGCAGUGGUCCAGGGCCCAAGCCCAAAAUAGGAAUCCAGAAACAAUGCCAAGCCCAAAAUAAUAAAUCAAGGGCCAAAGUCUAUAACCAACCAAGAAUACUAAAGCGCAAUUUAAAUGAUAUAAACUAAACUAGGCCCAAAGCCAACUGAAAUGAAUCAAGCCCAAAACCAAGUCUAAAACAAUCUUAAGCACUGAAUAUUCUCAAGCCCACAUCAAAACAACCAACCAAGCCCAAUCUAUAAAGAAGCCCAUUUUUUUUUUUUUUUUUUUUUAAAAAAGGUAUUGUUAAGAUCAAAUGGAGCUUUUACCUCACGUUUUGAAGAACCUUGGGAUGAAUAGAUGAAGAACCAAGGAUUGGGUGGUGGUGGUAAGUUAAAGUUUCAACUUAUUGAUUUUCCAAUAACAUCGAAUCCAUUGCCAUCAUAUGGAAGUGCUCUAUUGAGUGAUACAAAGAACUCAUUCAUGGUGAACUUAUUUUCGACCUACUUAAGUAGUCGAAAAUGGAACAAGGGCAUUUUUUAAGAUUACGGCGGUUAUUGAGUAAGCAAUGAGAUCAAUAUACAAAUGCAUAGAAUCAAGGUACAAAGAAAUGAAAAUUAAGAGCAAAGCGUAAAAGUAUUCAUAUUGCAAAUCCUACUAGAACGACUCGUUUUUUGAAUUGUCCAUAUCUACUAGAACAAACAUUAUAAAACAACAUAAUUAAAAAUAUACAAACUAAAAGGACCGAGUAAUGGUGUUGUGAUUUCUCCAUUGAAAGUGAUUUCUUGACUUUGUGAGCAUUUUUAGAAUUUUGGGGAGUAGAACUUACCUCUAUAUUCCACAAUUUCCUUGUUACUUCAUUUCUUCAACAUGAUGAACAUAAUUGUAAUUUUCCUAUAAUAUUAAUAAAUAAACUUUAAUCUUCAAAUCAUCAGACGUGAAAUAAAUAAUUUCCAAUUUUUUUUCUUUAAGAUAAGAUGGAAAGAAACUGUUGUCAAUAAUUUGUUUUCUUAAUAAAAUAUUUUAUUUUGUUAUUUAUUUCAUCAUCAUCAAAAUAAUUAGAGACUACAACAAACUACUUUAUUCCAUAUUAAAUAAAUUUUAUACAAAAUCAAGCAGUGAGUAUAAGUAUAAAGAAAUGAGGCCAAAAUACAAGGAUAUGGGACUAGGAUACAGAAAAAUAGGACCAUUAGAAAAAUCGCCUAUUAAUUAGGUAAUUUAUCCGAGUGUUAAUUUUAUUAACAAAACUUUAAAAAAAAUUAAUUGGUUUAAAGUUGUUUACUUUCAAGAAAUUUUAUAUAUAAUCAUAAUUCCAAGUAAGACUUUUUAGCAUAGACAGUCCUUUUUAAAAAAAAAAAAAAAAACUAUUUUAUAAAUAUAAUGUGUUUUAAGUUUUAAAUAUUGAAAUAUAAUAAGUUUUCAAUCAUACCAAACUCUAAGACAUAAACGAGGAGUAGGAUAUGGACAAGGUUGAGGUAGAGGAUGUGGUAUCGAUCAUAGUCAUGGUAGACACAAUUCCUAGUACCAUAGUGGUGGUAAACGGUGGUUAUAGUCAUUCUCAUAGUAGAAAGAACAAUUCAAACUACGAGACGUGGAAUACUUCAAAGGUACAACCUGAAAAGGGAGUAGAACCACAAAGUAAACAUACUCGUGAGAAUCAAUAUUAUAGAUGUGGUAUGAAAAGACACUGGUCAUGUACUUAUUAUACUUUAAAGCAUUUGGUUGACCUUUAUCAAGCCUCGCUAAAAGCUAAAAGGAAAGGAGAUUAAAAUGAAUUUCAUCAAUGACAAUGGCAUAGUAGACUUAACCUAGUUAUUUAGAUGUUUUAGACUUCUUUGAGAGCCCUAGUGGAAAAAUUGACCAUCUAAUUAGUGAUAGAAAUGUUUAUUAUAAUUAAAUGUUAUGUUCUUAUUUAAUUAUUUGAAAAUAGUUUUACUAUGUUAUCAUCUUUUUUUAACACAUUAUAUAUAAUAUACAUUUUUUACAAUUUAUUUCAUGUUUUAUUUUUACAUAUGAUCGGUUCAUAUCUAAAUUCUUUUCUUUAUUUACAUUUGAAGAUAUACAGAUUCCUCCAUGCCUUAAUAAAUUAUACGACAUUCAAUGUAGAUGCAUAUCUUCCAAAUUGUGCCACAACAUACACAAUCCUUUCUGAUAUAUAUAUUUUUAACUUAACAUUAACUAUAAGUCUAAUGUUAAUACCAUAUUAGGUCUUACUGACUGGAUUCAAAGCUUCAAAGAAGCAACUAUUAUUUUACUUGGUGGAACUAAAAUCUAUAUCAAUGAUGCUCUUUAUUCUUUUAAAUCCAACAUAAAUCUUCUUAAUUUUAAGGAUAUCUAUCAUAAUGGAUAUCAUAUUGAAACAAUGAAUAAUGGUAACAAUGAAUUCCUUUUUAUUACUUUAGCUAUUUCUGGAAAAAAAAAACAUAUAUUGGAAAAACUUCCUUCUUAUGUGAGUUAUAUCAAACAAUUAUCAAACCCAUUAAAUCAUAUGUUAUCAUAAAUCAAAAGUUCUAUAACUCAAAAACUUAUAUAUAUAUAUAUAUAUAUAUAUGUUAAAUUUGAAUUUUAUAAACUUAGAUUUCUAUUUUGUGUUUUUUUUCAUGUGUAUGUGUAUAUAUGGAAACACACUUUUCCUCUCAUUACAAUUAGUCUUAAGAAACAUUGGUCUAACAUACUUAAACAAUAGUUUAAACAAACAUAUUUUAUUGUUUUGAUGCAUAUACUUUUAUUCACCUACCACCUAACAAGGGUUUCCAUUUGGGCAUAGAAAAUUUCUUUUAAUUUUAUGGAUUAUUUUAGAAUGAAAAAUUCCAAAUAAAUUAACAUUACAUAUAAUGUGUGCAUCACCAUUAAUAUAACAUAUCUCAUUCAAUGUCAUAUAUAUAUAUAUAUAUAUUAUAAGUAGCUUUUUGACUAAUUUAUGUAAAAGGUUAUAACUUAACUUUUGACUAAUAUUCUACCUAAUUUAACCUCAUUAAAACAUUUUGACUGGCAUAAAUGAAUUNGUAGAAUAUUAGUCAAAAGUUAAGUUAUAAUCUUACAUAAAUUAGUCAAAAAGCUACUUAUAACUUUUUGUCCAAAAACAACAAAUCAUGUGAUUUCACUAAUUAUAGGGAGACACCCUUUGAUACUUCCAUGACUUUAAAUCAUAUUUUCACAUCAAUCUUGCUUUUCAUCAAAUUCAAUAUUUCUACUUUUUAAUUAUUAAAUAAUACUUUAUUUAAGUUUGUUUCUACUACAUUAUUAAUCUCCAAUCUUAUAUGGUGUAUAAAAACUUACUAUUCUUUUCUAACAUGAAUAAUUUGGUCUUCAAUAUUUUUUGCCUUUCACAAUUUUAUUUUCCUUGGAAAGCAUAAACCUUUACAAGAUUAAUAUUUUAUUUUUAAUUUAAUUAGAGAUUAAAAAUAUAUAGUUUAGUUAGUUUUUAAGGAAAAAUGAAUUAAAGCGACAUAAUUGAUUUAUACUUGAAUUAAAAAUCAAGCCAAUUUUUUUAGUGAUUGAAAAAUUGAACCAAAUUAAAUUUGUUUAAUAUUGGUUUAGUUCAAUUUAGAUUAUUAAUUAGAUACAAGAUAAUUAAGACAUUAAGUGCAAUUUAUUUUUUAAAGGUAUUUAAAUCUAAUUUGAAUUUAUAAUUCAAAAUAUAUUUAAAAUUUAUAAUUAGUUUGACUAUAAUCUAAUAACAAUGAAUUAUUUUAAAUAGAGUCUAUAAAAUAUAUUUAUUAAAUUAAAUAUAAAAAAAUUAUCAAACAUUGAACAAUUAUAAAUUACAAAAGAUGAAAGUCUUAAAAUAUUAAUUUGAUUAGGUUUUUAUCCAUUGUAAGACCCAAAAAAAAAAAAAUUCAAAAUUUGCAAAAUUAUCAAAUUGAACUGAUGUACAUAGUAAUUCAAAAUCAAACUAAUUUGAGUUGAAUUAAUCGAUCGAGUUUUUUUAUUCAUUUAUUGUAACUAGUUUAUAUUUAAUUAUCACUUGCCACCAAUAAAUCAUUAAAAAUAAAAAAUAAAAAAAUGUUGAUAAGUAAGAUAAGGUAUAUGACAAAACUCUUUAAAAAAGAAGCCAAAUAUUAGUUGGUUUGUCAAUAUGUUAUCAUAGUCUUCAAAUAUUGUGAAGCUACAACAAUUAAGUUGGAUAAGUCAAAUGUUGCAAUGAUUUUAGAUUAGGUAGAUGAGUCAAAUUUAAAUGAUAACCCCCUUACCUAAAUCAGUCAAAAGCUAUUCAUAUCUUCUUAGUAUAACACAUGGAUUUAAUUUUGGUGGGACAUCAUCUUUAUAUUCUGAUACUUCUAUGAUUGCAAAAACAUUUUUCACAUGACUUCUGGUUCUCUUGUUUCCUUGAAACUUUAAUCUUUAUAUUUAUAUUUUUAGUUUAAUUACUAAAUUUUUUAUAUUUUCCAUAGGUUAGGUGCUUCUACUUUAUUUUCACUCUAAUGACCAUUUCCAUAAAGCAUAUCGCCUAAAAAAUUAUUAUUUUAUUUAUUAGAUAAAUCAUUUAUAUUAGAUUAAUCAUUUUGAUCAAUUAUUCAACUUUUGUUGCAUUUCCCAAUUUUGUUUUCUUUCUAAAGUAUAAACCCAAAAUAAACUACUAUUUGUUUUUUUGUUUUUGUUUUUUUUGUUUUUAAAACUAGCUUGCAAAAUUUGUUAGAAAAGACUUGUCCUUAUGGUUUAGUCAUUCCCUCCAGAAGAUUUCCAAUUGAAUUCAGAAAAGUAACUCUUCGUGUCCAAAACCUUUUCUAAUUCAACUUCUUAAUUUCUAAAAUCCUUAAACAAAAAUCAAGAAUUUCAUUAAUUCAUUUUGGUGGACAUGGGAUCUAUUAAACUCAAACACAAGCUUGAUUAAAAAGAUCCCACAUGCAUAAGAUUUUAAAGAUUUUAUCUUCAAAUUAAAAACCAAAAUCAAAAUCUUUUUACUUCAAAAUACUUUAUUCAAGACUUUAGUAUUUACAUCAUAAUCUUAUUAUUACUAUCAUUAUAUAUAGAUGUCUCGUAUAAUAUUUUUUACUUUAAAAUUUUUUAUCACCUUGGAUGCCUAUAAUGAUUGCAAGUCUUUUUUCAAAACAGACAAAAACAGUGUAGAUUGAAAUAAGCAAAUGAUCAAGUUUUCUUUUAAGAUUUUUCUCAUUAAGACACUAUCAAAUAAGAUAUGUUAAUAAGUACAUAAAUUUUCAUCAAGAUGUAAUCAAUUAGCUCAUCAAGUCUUGUUCAAGCUAUGAUCUGUCAAAGCAAAUUUCUGCUAGCUUAUUAAGGUUUAAUCUAUUAACUCGUCGAGAGUUGUUUAUGAUAAGAUCUAUUGAAAUUUAUCUUAUAGAGAUUGCGUGAAGGUAUAUUUGUAGGUUAAUUUACACUCGUAUAUUUGUAUGUUGAAGUUUAUUCACAAUAACAAAACAUAAAGAUAGUUUUACAAAGAUAAAAGAUAUUUAAACUUAAUGAACUUUUUUUUCAAUUGUUUUUGCUUUCUUUUUUCUUUUUAUUGCAUUUAUCUCUUAUUGUUGGUUAGAGUCUCAAACCUAAGGGAACCAAAGUUUGACUAUGUCAUGACCAAGACUAGUUUAGUAUUAUAUAAGUCAAUUGAAAGUAUAAUUGGAACAAUUUUUUGGGAGAUGAACAUUCAAACAUGGAGUGUUCCUAGUGUCCUCAAUAUUCAAACAUUCCCUAUAGGACAUUCAAAUGUAGGUUAAUUUUAUGUUAUUUUCAUUUUGCAUUUCAUAGUUUUUGGAGGUAAUAAUUGCUCUUCAAAUCUUAACACUACGUUUUUAGUAUAAAUACUAAGUUUCUUAAUCUUUCAACAACAUUCUUUAAAUACCUUCUUGCAAAGUAGAAGUUUAAGAAUUUGAUUCACUAAAGAAUCAAUACCAUUUUUGAGGUAGUCUAUUAAUGAAUUAUGAGGGAGUGUUAUGUUGGUGAUCUAAAAGAAGAGAGUAGGUGUUAAUGAUAUAAAAUCCUACUGAGUAGCGACAUCUACUUAGGUAAACCUAUGUAUCUUCUUCCCAUAUUUAAUGAAUUAUUUAUGGUCAUAGACCAUCCAUUGGUUUUUAGACCUAAGGAUUUUUAGGUAGUUUGUUAACAUAAAUCUUAUAUUCAUUAUCUAAUUGAUUUUUGUUGUGCAUGGGAUUAAUCUAUUUUUACUAUUAAUACACAAAUUAAAAUAAUUUUUUAGAAAAAAAAAUUGCAAGUUUUACAAACAAUUGACUGGUAUAAUUUCCAAUUUAAUUAUAAAUAACAUUGAAAUGAAUAAUUCAAUAAAUUUUUACUACAAUUAGACAUUAGUUUAUUAAGUUCAAUAGAAUAAUAUGUUUGUAUUAUUAGUUAAACUGUAAGUCAAAAUUAUUUUGAAUUACCAUUGAAAUUAAAUAUGUAAAAUUCAUACCUAUUUCCAACUUCGCUCAUACCAUGAAUUUUCUCCCCAUGUGAGGCUACAUUAAAAAAGAAUUCAAAUGUAAACUUGUUAACUUUGUAGGGUCAUUAAAAAAUUGAUAACCAAGAACGAAAUACAAAAUCACAAAGAAGAUAACAACUUUGUCAUUUAAGGAAAAAAGGAAAAGGAAAAAAAAAAGAGAAAAUGGCAAGUUAACAAUUGACGUCAAAAAAUAAAAAAAUAAAAAUGGUAUGGAUGNNUUCAUUUUAACAGCAUUCUUAAAUAAAUUCAUAUUUCUUUUACUACCCACGACAAAAAAUAAUUUUGUAGGUUCAUUUUUUAAAACAUAAAAGGGUCCAGGAACAAUUUAAAUUGCAUAACACAAGGGAAAAUAUUCUAAGUAAUGUAUAUAAUUUAAGAUAUUUGACUAGAUCUUUUAGGAAAAGAAAAUUUUAAUGGCUUAGCAUCUAAGAAAAUUGCAAGUAGUAUUUUACAACUUUAUGAUAAAUAUAUAUAUAUAUAUAUAUAUAUAUAUAUAUAUAUAUAUAUAUAUAUAUAUAUAUAUAUAUAUAAUUCGAUUACUAAAUAUUUCAAUUUCAGUUAAAAAUGCAACGUUAAAAUUUAAAAUGUGUUCAAAUUCUUAAAGUUGAUUGUUACACUCAUCCUAUAACCUAAAUUCCUAAAGUUUUUUACAUUAUUUAGUAAUUUAACUAUUGUGCACCUUAUUUUAAAAUGGAAAAAAAAAAUCAUUUAGGUGCAAGAGUGUUCUUGAGAUUUAGUAAAAUAAUAAAUUACUCAUACAUAAUACAACCUAUGAAAGUAAAGUAAUUUUAGUUUCUUAAGAUACCUCAAAUUAAAUGACGGAUCCCUACUUGAAAUUGAGAGUUCGUUUAAUGAAAUGCUAAAAAUACAAACUUCCACAUGGAGUCAAUUUCUAGUGAAAAUCUCCUUGAAAAUUGUUCUAUUAGAUUGUUGGAUGAUAAUGUAUUGUUUCUCUAUAAAGCAAAAGGUCCUUCACGCAAUCUAUUAUUGAGAUUUCUUCUCACCAUCUACCUAUUGAUCAAUAGAUAAAUUUAUCUAUUCAAAAGGUCCUUCACGCAAUCUAUUAAUGAGAUUUCUGCUAGCAAAAGGUCCUUUUUAUUUAUCGAAAUUUAAUAUAAUAACCUCAUUAAAACUUAUUCAAGAUAAUACAUAUCAUUUAUAUUUCAAGAUAAUAGUAUUCAAAAUCCACAAAAUGAAAACACUUUAAAGUUUGUCUCUUCAAUUAUUAAAAAUAAAGACUUAAGACAUAGAAUUUUUUUGUAAAUUAUAUCUUGUUGUUUCUCCUCAUUUUCUCCUCGCCCUUUAUAUUUCUUUCUUUUACUAUGUACAUUUUGUAUUCUAGACUUUUCGACUCAAUUACAAACUCUGCCAUCAAAAUCAUUAUAAAUGAAAUUAAACUUUUGUUUCAAAUAUUUUGUACACUAUUUUAUUUAUUUAUUUAUUAUGAGUAUUUAGUGUUUUUUAUGAUUUUACUAUUGUUUUUUAGAUCCACUAAUGACUUUUGGAUACGUCGAUUUUUGUAAUGGUUUUAAAUUAGGUACAUGAGUCAAAAGUUAAUAAACUAGUCAAAAGUAAUUCAUACCUUUUUAUUAAAAAAAUGCAUGGAUUUAAUUUUGGCGGGACAUCAUCUUUACAUUUUGACUUCUAUGAUCACUGAAACUCAUUUUUUUCACAUGAGCAUUGUCGGACCUAGCAAAGGCCUAAGAGAGGCAAUUACCUUUUCUAAAAAAAUAAAAUCAUGAUAGGGGUUUUGAAAAAGGAUGGCAACCGCGCAGGUUGGGAAGGGUCGCCCACAUCCUAAUUCCACCCUAUUUAUUCAAAAUAAUUCUCAUCCACGUUCUAUUUAAAAAAUUAAACGGGCGGGACAUGUAUGAUAAAUUCUCAUACCUGCCCUAUCUCGUCCCGUUUGGUUAACUUUUUAUUGAAUUUAAAUUCUUUUAAAAAAGAAAUUAGUAUUAAAAUUUUUAAUUACAUUAAAAUAUUUAUACUUUAUAAAUAAUUAAAUUAUUAUAUUUUUAUAGUCUAUUUUAUAAAAAAUAUUUUUUUAUUAUCUAUACAUUAAAAAUAGUAAAAUAAACAUUAAAUUAAAUUAUUUUUAAAUUUUAAAUUAAAUUAAUUUAAAAAUUAAUUUUAUAUAUAAUCAGGGUGGGGCGGGCCAAUACCCGAACCUGCCCCGGGUUUUAAAAAAAUUCCUAAACUCGUCCUAAACCCAUUUAUUAAAAUUGAACGCGUCCUAUUAGGGGCGGGGCGGGAUGGGUACCUGAAAAAACUUGCCUCUCAUUACCAUCCCUAGUUUUGAACCUUUAAAGUAUGCUUUCUUUGCAUUAUAUACCAUAGUUUUUUUUUUACCCCCUAAAAUAAUUUUUCUAUUUGUGUUCCUCUUAAAGCACAUUCCUGCCUCCGCUCUAUUGUACAUAGUCUUGUUUCUCUUGAAACCUUAAUCUUUCCGAUAUUCAGUUUAAUUAUUAAAUUUGUGAUCUUUUCCAUAGGUUAGAUGAUUCUAUUUUCAUUCUAUUGACCAUUUGCAUAAAGCAUAACCUAAAAAUCUAUUAUUUAUUUAUUACGUUAUUCAUUUUCUAUGAUUCAUGUUUGUUUUCAACUAGUUAGUGUUUCCCAACUUUGUUAUUUUUCUAAAGCAAGAACCCAAAAUAACUAUAUUUGGUUAUUAUGUUUAACUAGCUUGAAAUUUUAUUUUUAUUUUUAUUUAUUUUGUUUUGAAAAUUGAACAUAUAUUUUAAUUAUUAGAGUUGGGUUAGUGUGACUUAAUAAAUGAGAGAAAUAAGGAGAGUAAUUUUUAAGAGUUUUUAAAUUACCAAAAACUGCCACUAAAAAUAAUAAAUAAUAAAAAAAGUUUCUCUCGAGAAUAGCCUCUCCUUAUAAAACUAAAAACAGAGGACUAUGUUUUCUUUUCUUUCUAAAAACAAAGAAAGAAUACAAUUCUUUUUCUAAAAAAAAUAAAAUCUUUUCUCUUUUUUUUUUUUUUUUGCUUUCUCCAUAAAAACGAAGGUUAAAGGUUUGUUUGGUUCCUAUUUUUAAGAACUAUUUUUUGUUCUUGAAAACAAAAAACUUGUUUGAAAAAGGAGGUAUGUUUUUGUUUUUUGUGUUUUCUGUGUUUUCAAAAACCAUUUUAUUAAUAAAAAAAAAAAUACUUUCGAACAUGUUUUUUUUUUUUUUAGAACAAAAACCGUUUUUCAGAAUUCAAUUCACAAACACAAUUUUUUUUAAUAGUUUUCAAAAACAACAAACAAACAGGCCCUAAAACUUUUAUAUUGUGAAAAAAAAUGAUUUUCAUAUUUAUAGUUUUAUUUAUGAUUUGAGAUGAAAAGAUUAGUUAGUAAAACAACCAAUUAGGAUUCUUGAAUACCUCAUAAGGUAACCUAAAAACCUUAUUUUACAUCAUUUAUUAUUGUUCAUAUUUUAUAUAGUAAAUUAUGAUAAAUUUAGAGUUAUGAUACUACUUAUAUAUCCGAAUAUACUUUCGAUUUUUAAUAAAGUUUUAAAAUUUUUUAAAGAUAUGUUUUCUUAUUGUAAAUUUACAUUUUGUUUUUUGAAUCUUUAAAUAUUAUUAUGCAUUUUUUUUUUUUUGAAUUAGAGAAUACAAAAAUCUUUUAUCCAAAUUCGAAAUUAUGCUAUACAAAUGAAAAAUGAUUCUAGGAAUAGCUCAUUUACUAUUCUUGUGCUACCGAUGUUUGAUUGGAUGGAAAAGAUUAUUUAUGUUUUUUUAUUUUAAUUUUUUUUAUAUUUAAUUAUUAUCAGUAACCAAUAGUAAAUAAUAAAACACUUGACAAGUUAGACGAAAUAUGUAACAUUACUCUUUAAAAAAAGGCAAAAUAAUGAAAACAUUAUUAGAUGUGUAUCAAAAUUUAAAAGAGUAUACAUUUGAUUUUGUAUUAGAAUUUUUACAAAUUAUCACCAUAAAUUCUUUCNNNNNNNNNNNNNNNNNNNNNNNNNNNNNNNNNNNNNNNNNNNNNNNNNNNNNNNNNNNNNNNNNNNNNNNNNNNNNNNNNNNNNNNNNNNNNNNNNNNNUAUAAAAAUGAUAUGAUAAAUUUUUAAAAAUUUAAAGAAUCACUUAAAAUAAUUCUUGGAUAAUUAUUAAUUUUUAAAAAAUUAUUUUUUGUUAUAUAAUAAAUUAUCCAAAUAAUUUAAUUUUUUUUUUGUUCACACCCAGGUAUUCAAUUAAUUUCUUUACAAUAUUCAUGGUAUACAAAAAUGGGAUUCCGGUAUAUCUAUUUAAUAUAUAGUUAAUAGGAAUUUAACAAGGAUUAAAAAACAACAUAUUAUUUAGCUAAAAGUCUAAAACAUGUAUUUAUAAUAUAGAGUUAAUUAUUUAGUGGUUGAAUUUUUUUAAAGACAUUAUAAAAUUUGAUUUCAAAUAUUAUUGUAAUUCUUCUUUUAAUCAAAUUUAUAGAUAUUAUACUUCCCACUCUCAUUUUAUUAAUAAAAAUAAAAAUAAGGGUUGAAAAACAAAAACAAUCUUUAUGAUGGUGGAACCCAUAGGCAAUAAACCCAUUUAACAUAUAGUUGAUACAAAUUAAACAAGAAAAAGGACAAUCUUUAGGAUGGUGGAACCCAUAGGCAAUAAACCCAUUUAUCAUAUAGUCGAUGCAAAUUAAACAAGAAAAAACAGUCUUAAAGAUGGUGGAACCCAUAGUCACAGGCCAUCAAUUAAGAGGAAGCCCACCUGACACUGAGAAUAAAUAAUAAGAUAAAAAUGAUGGCUGGCAAUGCACUAGCAGGUUCAUGAUGGCAGUGGUCAAUACGCCCUUGCAAGAAAGUAAACUGUGGGCUUUAGUGGACCUACUAAAUGUUGGUAUCAGUGUCGACAAGUGGGUCACUCAUGAGAGAUUCCCUCUGUUCAUCAAACUAUGGUAAAGCAAAAUUUUGGUGGUUCCCAAAGAGUUUUUUCACUCCCAUCCAUCACCAGCAAGGUCUUUUGAGUAUUCAGUCUACACACCGGCUUUCCAAAGUCUUCGUCUUUCAAAAGGCCUGUCAUGAGUCGUGACCAUGUCAGAAAGGAGACCUACAAAUUUGUGGCUGAGUUUCAUCUACAGUCAUACCGUAUUCUCAGGCUGGCCUACGGCAUACAAUAGGAUCAAGAAAAAGUUAAGAGAGGCUCAAAGCUAUCAUUUCAUUGGUCUUAGCCAGGAAUAUUAUGAACCGAUAAAAUUUAACUUAGGAAAAAAUUUUAGAGUUUGUCGGUGAGUUAUUCUAAAAGGUGUUUUUAAACCAUGAAAAAUAUAUAUUUUUUGAAAUAUUAGAUAUUUAUCAAAAUUUUAAAAACAGUUUUAAAAAAACUAAAAAAUCAUUUACCGUGUAAAUGAAAAAUCACUUAUAGUAUUUUUUAAUAUUUGAGAGAUGAUUUUCUUAAAAAUAUUUUUAUUAAAAAUAUUUUAAAUAAAAUAUUAAAAGAUGUAUUUUUAGAAUUCGUUUGAUAAUGAUUUUAAUAAGUAUUUUUAUCAUUUUUAAUAUAUAAAUUCUUUUUAUUUAAAUAUUAAAAAUAUUAUAAAUAUUUCCUUUUUUUUUCUUUUAAUCAGGUUUUUACCAUUUACAAGUUAAAUUUCUUAUUCUUCCAUGCAAAUAUAUCAAGGAAAGAUACAAAAAUAAAAUAAGAUUUUAACUAUGAAUUAUACCUAACAAUUACAUAUAAAUUUUAAAAAUAUUUGAUAUAAUAUUCAUUCUAUAAAAAUAUAUUCUAAUUAAGAAAUAAUAUGGGUUUUAUUUAAUAAUGAAAUAUUAAAUAAAAUAAUAGCUUAUUUACAUAUAUUUUAUAAAUAACGUCAUUCAUUCAUAUAUGAAUGCAUUAUUUUUCAUUACUUAAAUGGGGUGGGAUAGGAAUAUUCCAUAUCAUACCAGCAGUCAGAUAUGAUAAUAAAUUGAUGUGAUAACAUUUUAUUUUCUACAUACUUGUAAGUUCUUAUGCAUGCAUCGCACCACAUGCAUAGUGUGCAAUUGGUCAAAGUGGAUUCUGCAAAUCUUUAACCCUAAGGGCUAGGAUAGUUGGACUAUGGAGGCUCUCUCUCUCUCUCUCUCUCUCUCUCUCUCUCUCUUACCAAUAUAGAAUAUAAGGGUAUCUUAUAGAAUAUAAGGGUAUUCUCUCUCUCUCUCUCUUCAAAGAUGGGAGGCAACUAUACCAAACCAAUAUAGAAUAUAAGGGUAUCUUCUGUAAUGAUUUAUAAAAUAAAGGUUUGAUUGAAAUCAUGAAAUAUUUUUAAUAUGUUUUUUUUAUAUUUUAAAAAUAAUUUUUAUAUGUGAUAUUUUUAUUUUUAAUUAUUUUUUAUAUUUAUAUAAUUAUUUCUUAAAAAUAAUUUUAAAAAAAUAAAUUAAUAUAAUUGAAAAAUAUUUUUUACAAAUAGAUUUUUAUUUUUUAAUCAUCAAACAUAACAUAAAAUUAUUUUAAAAAACAGUUACUGAAUAUAUGUUAAAUAACUAAAAGGUGAUUUGUUAGCACUUCUUAUUAAUUUAUUUAAAACAUAAAAAAAGUACAUUUUUAUAUAAAAUAUAAUUUUUUUUAAUUUUCAAAAAUAAAAGCUUUAACAAUUUUCUAUCCAACAGCAGUUACUUCUAAAAACAAGAGCUACUUGACAAUAAUAUAAACCAAAUCAAUACUAAAUUGACCGAUAGUAAUUAUUUUUUUUCUUUUAAUUGGGUUUUUACCAUUUACAAGUUAAAUUUCUUAUUCUUCUAUGCAAAUAUAUCAAGGAAAGAUACAAAAAUAAAAUAAGAUUUUAACUGUGAAUUAUACCUAACAAUUACAUAUAAAUUUAAAAAAUAUUUGAUAUAAUAUUCAUUCUAUAAAAAUAUAUUCUAAUUAAGAAAUAAUAUGGGUUUUAUUUAAUAACGAAAUAUUAAAUAAAAUAAUAGCUUAUUUACAUAUAUUUUAUAAAUAACGUCAUUUAUUCAUAUAUUCAUAUAUUUGCAUUAUUUUUCACAACCCAAAUGGGGUGGGAUAGGAAUAUUCCAUAUCAUAUCAGCAGUCAAAUAUGAUAGUAAAUUGAUGUGAUAACAUUUUAUUUUCUAAAUAAUUGUAAGUUCUGAUGCAUGCACCGCACAACAUGCAUAGUAACAUUUUAUUUUCUACAUAAUUGUAAGUUCUUAUGCAUGCACCGCACAACAUGCAUAGUGUGCAAUUGGUCAAAGUGGAUUCUGCAAAUCUUUAACCCUAAGGGCUAGGAUAGUUGAACUACGGCAACCUCAAUAAUUUAGCAAAAUAUGGACUACGGAGGCUCUCUCUCUCUCUCUCUCUCUCUCUCUUCAAAGAUGGGAGGCAACUGUACCAAACCAAUAUAGAAUAUAAGGGUAUCUUAUAUUCUACAAGGGUAUUCUCUCUCUCUCUCUCUCUUCAAAGAUGGGAGGCAACCAUACCAAACCAAUAUAGAAUAUAAGGGUAUUUCCUGUAAUGAUUUAUAAAAUAAAGGUGUGUUUGAAAUCAUGAAAUAUUUUUAAUAUAUUUUUUUAUAUUUUUAAAAUAAUUUUUAUAUGGAUAUUUUUAUUUUUAAUUAUUUUUUAUAUUUAUAUAAUUAUUUCUUAAAAAUAAUUUUUAAAAAAUAAAUGAAUAUAAUUGAAAAAUAUUUUUUAGAAAUAGAUUUUCAUUUUCUAAUAGUCAAACAUAACAUAAAAUUGUUUUAAAAAACAGUUAAUAAAUAGUCUUAAAUAACUAAAAGGUGAUUUGUUAACACUUCUUAUUAAUUUAUUUAAAAAAUAAAAAAAGUAUAUUUUUAUAUAAAAUAUAAUUUUUUUUAAUUUAAAAAAAAUAAAAUAAAAUAAAAGCUCUAACAUUUUUCUAUCCAACGGCAGUUACUUCUAAAACAAAAACUACUUGACUGAUAACAUAAACCAAAUCAAUACUAAAUUGUCCGAUAGUAAUUAUAUUUUAUUUUUUAUUUUAAAAAAUAUAAACUCUUAUAUGGAAUAUAAGAAUUUUUAUAAAAAUAAAGUAGCGAUGUCUUAUUAUUAGAAACACUUUGUAAAUAUUUUAAAAUUUGAGUAAGCGACAAUUUUUAAAAAAUAAUAUUAAAAUUUUAGAAUUAAUCUCUAUUUUUGUUAUUAUUUUUUUUUUAAUAUAAUAGCUAGUAAAAAAGAAAUUAAUUUUAACAUGCCUGCUUCUACAAGUGUGAAACUUCCAUUGGACUGUUGGUGCAUAGGAGGAUCAAGGAUGAUGACAUCCCUAGCGUGCAAGGGGAGUAAAGCAGAUUCCCUAAAUCUUUUAACCCCAAAAGUUGGGAUGCUUCAGCUUCAAAGACCACGAAAUAUUAAAGCUGACAAGGGGCUUGCAAGCAUACCCAAAUUAAGAAACCUUUAUCCACUUCCUUUAAAAAGAUGUGUACAAACUUGACAAAACUACAAAGAAUUUAGUAUUAUAGCUACUCUAUAUAAAUUUAUACUUUCUGAAUUUCUCUUAGAUUAAAAAAGAAAAAAAGAAAAGAAAAAGUAUAUAUUAAUAUGGAAUACAUCCCAAAUAUAUGGGAAAUGAAGUAAAUAAUGAAGGUUCCAAUUUUUUAUGAUACAGUGUGAUACACUCCCAUGCAUGGAGCAUGUCAGCCUCUCCCGAACUUGCUCAAUAUGUGAAAUGGCAGUUGGGCUCCUGAUCCCCUUGGUCGAUGUGAUAUGACACGAGCAUGACAUCAAAGAUUCCUAGCCUGCAAUGGCAUUAAAGUAGAUUCCCUAAAUCUUAGGGCUGCAUUUAUUUCAUUAUCUAUUAGUAUGAUUUGAAAAUGACUCAAAUUGCAAGUAAGAUCUUUUUUGUGUUGAGUAUGAGCCAAAUUACAAUCACAUUUGUAUGGUAAUCAUAAUUACAUAAUUAUGUUAACCUAUAACUCCAUUUAAUAAAGGGAUAUUUAGUUAAAAAAACUUCAAAUACGGCUGAAAUUAGAAAGAUGACAUUUAUUUUUUAUUUUUUAAAAUGGCUCAUUUUGGACAAUAUUACCCUUUUUUAUUUUCCCCCAAUGACAUUUUUCUAUCAUUUCCGAUUCAUAUCCUUCUCAUUCUUCCAAUAAAUUUUUUAGGUUGUCUUCAUGCUCUCUCCUAUUGAAUUUUCCGGUGAAGUUUAAACCCAUAAUAAGGAUGAAUGGAUAAACAUCAACUCUGACUCUCUCAUCUUUCUUUUUCUUCAAGAUCUUUCGUAUUGUUUUUUAGGGUUUUUUACAAUUGUUUUUGCAAUAGUUUUUUGUUGGGAUUUUUGGAGUUAAAAAGUUUUUUGUUAAGAUUUUAUGUAUUUUUUGAAGUCUUCUUCAAGAUCCCUUAUCAUUUUUUUUUUGUGUUUGGUUAGGUUUUUUUUAUGACUAUUUUUGCAAUGGUUUUUUGUUGGGAUUUUUGGAGUUGUUUUUUGUUAAGGCUUUAUGUAAUUUUUGUAGUCUUCUUCAAGAUCCUUUAUCAUUUUUUUAUAUGUUUGGUUAGGUUUUCUUUAUGGUGAUUUUUGGAGUUGUUUUUUGGGAUUUUUGGAGUUGUUUUUUGUUAAGGCUUUAUGUAAUUUUUGUAGUCUUCUUCAAGAUCCUUUAUCAUUUUUUUAUAUGUUUGGUUAGGUUUUCUUUAUGGUGAUUUUUGGAGUUGUUUUUUUGUUGAGAUUUUUUAUAGUUUCUUUUUGUUGGGGUUUUUUUUGUUUUGUUUUGUUUGUUUUUUUUUUUUUUUUUGUUUUUGUUUCGGCCUUUCAUGGUUAUUUUUUGUUUGAUGUUUUUUACAAUUGUAUUAUUGAUUUUUUUUUGUUAGGCCUUUUUUCCAUAUAUUUUCCAUUGGGAUUUUGGUUGAGGUUUUUUUGCAGGGGAGUUGUGGUUGAGUUUUUUUGUGGUGGGAUUUAGGUUAGGGUUUUUUUAUUGUUGUCUUUUAUUAGGAUUUUUGUUUUUUAUUUUAUUUAUUUAUUUGUUAGGCCUUUUAUUUAUUUAUUUAUUUUCAUUUAAACAUCUAAAGUGUGAAAUAAGAUCAUGGAUUCUUGCCCUCCAAUAUUUAAGUCCUAACAUUUAAGUCUAAUAUGAAAAUCAAGUUUUUCUUUUUUGUAGACAAAACGAAAACUUAACUCCAAUUAACUUUUUUCAAAACAAAACUUAACAACAAUAGAGCUUAGGUUAUUGUAAUCAAAUUCUUUGUGGAUGAAAUCGAAACAUUAACCCUAGUUAAAUUAUUUGUAAAUGAAACUUAACCAUUGUAUAAUUCAGGUUACCAUUGUAAUUGAGAACUUAACCCUAGUUAAGUUUUUUAUAAACCAAACUUAAUUCUUGAACAUGAAAUUAAUAUUUUUUAAAUUUGUAUUAAAUAAAAUUUAAUCCAAAUAAACAUUUGAGAUAAAAACAAUUUCACUUGAAAUUGUUAAAAUAAAAACAAUUUAAUCCAAAUUAAUAUUUUUCAUAUAUUUUACUUUAACUCUUCUCUUAGCUCAUUGGGACUAUUGGUCGGAGAAAUAGUGUUGAGCUUUUGUAGGGAUCUAAUAUCUUUUUGGAGGGAAAUAAAUAAGGGUAGAAAUGUUCAAACAAUGUCAUGCCUCAAAACAAUUAGUAAGUGGGGUUAGUUUUCCAAUUUCACCUUCAUUUUGAGUCACCUGUCCAAAUAACUCAAUAUUUAUAAAGAAGCUUAGGGGUGCAACUUGGACCAAGGUUGAUCCAACCCAACCUAAACCCAAUCCAAUAUUUGGGCAGACUUAAGCAAACAUUUUCAUUACUCGGGUUAAGCUUAUGAUAAGUUUUCUCAACCCGAUCUCAAUUUGGGUUGGGCUUAGGCCAAGAUUCGGACAAUUCAAGCCUAACAAAAUUUUUCUCAAUCACUCCAAAAAGUAAGGAAGACUAUUUUUUUUUUCAAAGUAAACAUUAUUGAGAUUGAGUUUCUAAAAGCAAGACAUGAUGUAACAAACUUAGACUUUACUGUCCUCUUGCUAUCCAUUUAGUGUAUUGAUAUUGAUUUGAGCAUUCAGCACGUCUCUUAUAUUGUAUAUAACUUGGGUACAUUAGAAGUUGCACAUAAGAUAUGAGUCAUGAGUUCUUUGUAAGUAGAUAAGUUGUCUACAAUCGGUUCAUGAAUUUGGGCAAUCCAAUAAGGACUAUAGUGCACCACCUUCUAAUUAAAGGGAUGACUUGUCUUGGCCAUUGGAAUGAAUUUCCCAUGGUGAGUGCACUAGAGUAUGUGAAUACACACUAGAUAGGACUUAUGGUGAAUCAUGACGUAAGACUAUCAAUUAUCAUGAUUCACCAAGCUACUAUAUUGCAUGGACUCUCAACCUUGAGAGGAUAUUGAGCUUGUGCCUAAAUCAAUAGGAGAUUUUGACCUAUGGGUGAGAUCUUAAAGUGGUUAUAUAUCCCUAUGGAUUGGGUUACUAUUGAUGGAGGUUGAUGACAACAUGUAUUUUCAAUAGAGACAUCAUGAUAUCUCAUGGAUUGAGAUAGUGUCCCAUUAGGUGAUCCAAAGGACAUGUGAUCAUAAAAUAUAUGGUUGCAAUAAUUUCUUUAGUGAAAUUUGACAUUUGCUCAUUAGAGUUAGAAUAUGUCAAUUGAUCACAUAAUAAGUGGAAUCUACAACUCAGUGAUUUGCGAGGUAAUCUUAAUAGGUGACAAUACUACCUUGUUAGAUUAUAGAUACCAAUUUAUGAGGAGUCUGUAUGCUGUGGAUAAUAGGUCACAGACCCAAGAUUCAUCUCGUUAUUAUUUACAUGGGGUAUUAGAGUAUUGUUGAUUCUUUUUAGUGGAAUGUUGAAUCAACUUAAGAAUUGGAUUUUGAAGGAGCCAAUACUCCUAUGGGUCUUAAUAGUCCAUAUUUUGAGCUUAUAUACCAUGAUGACACUAUUUAUGAGGGUUGGAUUGACUCUAGGUUCACUCUUAUACAUAAGGGCAUUUUGAUAAUUAUACAAGGUUGCAUAGGGGAUAGUGAACAAGGUCUUUGGAUUGGGCUAAUUGAUUGAUUAGAUGACUCUAUGUGGUUAAUUAAUCAAUUAGGACCCAUUUUGGGUUAGAUUAAGUUACCCAACCCUUAAUGGGCUCAAAUCAGUUAAGCCUAGUAGGGGGACCCUAUACAUACUCUUUUAUGGAAUUAAGGUUAAUUUCCUUAUGACUUUAGUUAGUUGUCUUCCACGUUUAGAGAGAGAGAGAGCGCACCAAGGUUCUACCUUUGCAAAGCCCACACUUUGGAGUGUCAAGAUCAUGAUUUGAGUCAUCAAGCGGAAGGACUUAGGCGUAUGAGACCUCCAGACUAUUCAAACAAGUUCUUUACUGUGAGGAAUUGAUCUAGGAACAUCCAAAUACGAGUAUGAAUACUAUAUCUUUAGAUCUAUAGUUAAUAAUGGUUUUUAUUGCCAUUUUAUUCCACUGUGAUAGAUUUAAAAAUGCCUAAGGAUAAAUGCAUGCACCCUAUGAGAUCCAAGCCAUGGGAACGGAGUAAUCUGAGGUUCCCAUCAGACAUGAGAAGAUACUUUUACAACUAUAAAGGAUAAUUCUCAUUAAAGUUUAUAACUCCCAACCUAAUGGUUAAAAAUAUUAAAGAUUAAGAAUUACAACUUAAGAAACUUUAACUUACCAAAUUAACUUGUAUAAAAUAUUUUUAUUCCAUUUUUAAAAUAACUAAAGUUUUAAACAUUAUUUUAUCAAAUCUUUAUGUCAACCAUGAAUACAAAUGAUCUACUCAUUUAACAAGGAAUUCACAAUAUGUUACAAGACAAGUUAAAGAAGUUAGAGUAUAUGAUAGAUGAUAUGUUUGAAGAAAUGAAUAAAAAGGCUAUUAGUGUGAUCUGUCCAAAUCUCCCCGAUAAGGCAAUCUAUAAUUUAAACUUAAUUGAUGAAGUAAGAAGUCAAAGACAUCUAGUAUAAUUUGGAGCAAUUGUACAUGGCAAAGAACUUUCAACAUAAGUUAUAUAUAAAUAAAAAAAUUGUAUUGUCCGUAUAUAGCAUAAAUAAAUAAAUAAAUAAAUCUACAACAACACUUCAAUAGUUUCAAGAGAUUGACUUUACAAGUGUUGUGAUUCAAGGCCACAUUUGAAGAAGAUAAAGACACAAAGUGGUUUCGUUGUUUGCAUCACUAUGAUAAUCUCAUAAGAAUCCUCUUGUAUGGAAAAGAGACUUUGGAGUUUGAUUAAACUACCAAAGUGUUAUUGUUAUAUGGAAAAAACAAAACUUCUUAUGAAUAAUAGUAACAAGAUUAUCUAAGGGCAAAGUCAAAAGAGAAAAGAGGAAGAGGUCAUAAGAAAGAUUGACUAUCAAAUAAAUUAAUUGUAGAACAUAGUCAUACCCCAUCUCAAGACAAGGAAUAUCACUACUACCAUAAAAAGGAACAUAUUAAAAAAAACCGUAGAAUUGUGAAAAAAAUAGUAUGAAGAAAGAAGAAAUAAAAAAAAUAAAAAAAAGAGCAUUAUUGUUAAAAUUGAAAAUAUGAAACUAAUAAAUUAUAUCCAAAUUUGUUAAAUAGGUAAAAAUCUUUUUGAAAAUGCUUGGAUUAUCAAUUCUACCUACUCCUACCAUAUCUACCUUCAUAGAUAAUAGACAUAAAUGAAUAAUGUAAUUGUGGGAGCAUUUUAAGGAGUAAUGAUACAACAUGCAAGGUUAUUGGGAUAAGAACAAUAAAAUUCAAAAUAUUGGAUGAAGUUGUGAGAAUUCUCAUACAAGUGUUAAACACUUUCCUAAAUUGAAGAAAAAUUUAAGUUCCAUUCUAACAUUAGAAGCAUUGUGAUGCAGCUAUAUAAUCAACCAUCGAACGUUAAAGGUAGUUAAGGAAAACUAGUCAUCAUAAAAGUUGAAAAUAUUGAAAAUUUAUAUAAUUUGGUGAGUAAUACACUCAUGACAAGAAAAUAAAAAUAAAUAAAUAAAUUCUCAAACAAAACUAUGAUACAUGCAUUUUCAAUAUUCAAGUCUGAGAAAUUAAUAGCUAUACUUAAUUAAGAAAAACACCCAAAAGGGGGGGGGGGGGGUUGAAUUGGGUUUUUUAAAAACUUUUUCAACACAACAAGUUCAAGCACAAUAUAAUAAUAAAAAAAGAAGAAGAUAGAGUUAGAGAAUUCAAACUCGGGUUAUAUAGUGGUUCGACACUUCCUUGCCUAUGUCCACUCUCCUCAAUCUCCUAACCGAGUGAGAGUUCCACUAACUUGAAGCUUCAACCAAGCUUCCAAUUUUCUUACACUUGGAUUCUGGCUCCAAUGGCCUCUUAUACAAUCUUUUCAAGAUUCAAACCUUUUGAAGGCUUUAACACUCAGUUUUUACAAGAAUGAAUCCCUCAACCUAGCUCAAAUACAAAACAAAGCUAGGAUGACUCACAAGGGUGCACUAAAGGAUAUGCAAGUGAUGAUUUAAUGCACUAAGAAAUAAAUGUGAGCUUUUAGGCCAAGAACAGGUAGGUAGAAAAUUGAUUGCAAGUGUUCUCUAUCUCAUAAAUGAAGUGGAUCUCUCAAUUUACAGGUUUCUAAGCUUGGGAGCCAAAAACAGCAAAAGGCAACCUCGACUGGUUGAGCUAGGGGUCGAUCGGUUCACUAGCCGUUGGAACAUUUAAUGCUUUGGCAGGUUACCGUUGCCUCGACCGAAGGUCGAUCGGACCUCGACUGGGAAGGGGUGAACCUCAACUGGGAAGAGGAAGCUACUGGAUGAGAGAGAGUGUUUUUGGCACUCCUCGACCGAACCUCGACCGGACAAGGGCAACCGGUUGAGCCGGUUGGCCAGAGCCUCGACCGGUUCAGCCUUUUGGCCCUGAAAACCUAUAUUUUUCAAUUCCUUUCUUUUCUAACACUUAGGCAAGGUCUUUAGGUGAAUUAAUAUGUCAAUUUUAAAAUGUUUUGCCUAAGGUACAUUUGAUAAAACUCGGGUUUUAAUGAAAUAAAAAAUUUAAAGGAUAAACCAAGUUUUCAAAGAUGCAUGAAACAAUAUGAAAAACCUAAGUGCACCCAUGCAUUCAUCUUAUAUUCGUUUCCUAUGAUCAAAAUACUUCCAAAAGUCUCGAUCUUGUAUCCAUUUGGUCAUUUGAUGAAUUUUUGAAUUUAUACCUAGGAUUCUUUACCAUUCAAACCAAUUAGUCACUUAACCAUGGUUUGUUAUCAUCAAAACCCGAUUAGGAGAAUCCUUGGGCUAACAUUCUCCCCCUUUUUGAUGAUGACAAACCUCGGUUAUCUAGGAAAAAAAGAAAUCUCCCCCUCAAACCAAUCAUGGAUCAAACAAUCCGAAAUUUAUGAAUUUAAAACCUAGAUAAUCAAGACAUGCGAAUUUUCAAUAGGAAACAAUGUAAAUCAUGAAAAUAUCAUAUCAUAUAUAGUAAAUUCAAAUGUACACGAAAAAAAGCUAAUCCAAACAGAUGAAAUGAUAAUGAUAUGCAUGUAUAGGUUGCCUAGAUCCUAAAUAUCUCUCCUCCUUUAGAAACAUAAAAAAGAAACGAAGGGGGUCUCGAUGAAAUCAAGGCUGAGGAAGUGGAAACACGGAGUGCAGGUAAGCCAUUAUCUCCUCAUGCUGACUUUCCUGGCGACUCUCGAUGUGCUCAAUACUUUGCUUGAGAUGCUCAAAUAUAGCCUACUACUGAUCCAUACGCUCCUAUAUACGCUCAAAUCUCUGUUGCAAAUGCUCAAACAGAGAGGUGAAGCCAGUUUGAUAUUGAUCCAUGCGAUCCUCCAUAGAAUAGAAUUGAGUAUCACUGACUAUUGCGAGCUCCUCCAUACGAGUGCAAAGUGAACUGAUUUAAGCAGAUAAAUCCAUCCAAGGUGCAUGAUCAGGAGCAUGAGGUGUCUGAGAUGGUAUCUCUGUGUGAGGAAGCUCAGUGAAUGAUGGCUGAAAGGAUGGUCCCGCUGUGUAAGUCACCUCAGACCUCAUAGGCUUAGAGAAUGUGGCCUCAAAUUGAAUAACCUCUGACUGGGGUGGAAGAGGAAUAUCAAACUCGAGCUCUCUCUACUCAAAGUCUAUCUGAAGGUCUAACAUAUCCUCCAUCUCUCAGAUCUCGGCAUCUUUCUUUACUCCGAGAUGCAUCUGUCCCUGUCUCCGAGCCUGUGUUGGUGGUCGCUCAGCUUUCCUAAUCCAAGAGCCAUCGGGGGCCUUUUCAAACUUCAUCUGUCCCAAGGACUGCUCAUCAUAAGUGUCAUAAAUGCUAGAGGCCUCAAAGUCUGUCUCUCUACUCAAAUCAACCCCGACAUCCUUGAAUACUCUAGUAAGGAAGCGAUCGUAGGGGAGUACUCGGGUCGUGCUCUCGCAGCAUGAUAUCAUGUGCAUCAUCAUCAGAUACCCCACGUGAAUCCGUCUCCCCGUCAGAAUCGAGUCUAUGAGGAAUGCGUCAAGAUAAGAGACCUUAUCUCGGUGUCCGUCUCGUGACAAUAGGAUGGAGCAGAUCAUGUGAUGAAGGACUCGGCUGAUCACGGUCAUGUUAUGUUCCGAUGGUUUGCCCAUCCCCUGGGCGUCUACAAGAUCGCACAUCCUCUGAAUAGCCUCUCUAGGCUCGAAACCCGGCACAGUGGGCUAAGCCUUGGACUCAUACACCCUGAGUCCAACUGAAGGGAUGUCGAAAAUGCGGCAAAUUCUCUUCACGCUCAGCCUGAUCUCAACACCUCUAAUAGUGGAAGUGAUCGGUCCACCAAGUCCAUAGGUCACUCGUGAAUAGAAUGCACGCACCAGAGUCGGAAAAAUCAGCUCGAAAAUCAUCACUACUGGCAGCCAUCCCAUCCGUCCGAAAAGUCUUUCAAACCCGAAACACUGAAGUUGGGAGAAAUUGAUACUUCUCCCUGAAACUACUUUCCUCUGAGCGAACUUCUGCUUGUAUCUCUGAUAGUCCUCUAUUGAAUUGAAGAAGGUCAUGUCAUACCUCGCCUUUCAACAAGCCUCCAUCUGAUCAGGCUGAGAUGACUCAACGGGGUGCUUGCUCUGAGCCCUAAAGGUUGUCAUCUCCCUCCUAGGAGCCAUCAAAAUAACAAAAGAUAAGGAGACGAGGCUAGUAGAGAAAGAAAAAAACACAACCAAGAGAAAACGAACCCAGACAAAAGCCCUAAGCUCAUGGAAAUGGAGCUUAAGUUGGCUGAGGCGCGCAGACAGAGGAGAACUAGUCCCAAAUCCGAAGCCCUAGGUCCCAAAUCCAAAGCCCUAGCCUCCAAAAAUCAAUCCGAACCUCUCAAAAUGUUGCAAUGGCGUCAAAAAUCACUUCUGGGCAGCUGAAACGGCACAACCCUUGAAGAACUAGAGGAAACAAGUGCAAAAAUGAGGCGCGGGAGGGUUAUUUAAAACGACACCCCGACGAACUGGUCGACUGGUUCCCUAUCCGAUCGAUCGCCUAAUCAACGGUCAACGUGGUCAAUGCUUCGAUUUUUGUGCAUUUUCUUGUCUCGUGAUCCUCCCCCUACCAUUUUCAAUUGAAAUCCCCAAUUUUUUUAUGUCUAAUGCCAAGAGAAUUUUGAUUUUUGGUCAAAAUUUGACCAUUUUCCUAAGUGUAUUUCUAUAUGAUGCAUAUGAUAUGAAAUUCAUGCAAUCAUAAGGUAUAUUCAACAAGAAUUCAUCAAGCAAUCAUUUGACUAUAAAGAAAUCACCCCUAGUUGCCUUCUAAUAUCAACAAAUCGUUCUUCACUUAGAGGUUUUGUAAAUAUAUCGGCAAGUUGAUCUUUUGUGCUUACAAAUUCAAGUGUAAUGUCACCCUUUUGUGCAUGGUCUCUAAGAAAAUGGUGUCUAAUCUCUAUAUGCUUAGUCCUAGAGAGUUGCACAAGAUUUUUUGAAAUGUUUAUGGCACUAGUGUUAUCACAUUUAAUAGGAACAUGCUCAAAAGACAAAUUAAAAUCACUAAGUGUUUAUUUUAUCCAAAGAAUUUGUGCACAACACAAAUUGACUGCUAUGUAUUCAGCUUCCGCCGUUGACAAAGCUAUCGAAUUUUGUUUCUUACUAUGCCAUGAAACAAGUGAGUGUCCUAGGAAAUGACAAGUGCCACUAGUGCUUUUCCUUUCAACUUUACAACCGGCAAAGUCGGCAUCCGAGAAUCCAAUUAAUUCAAAGUUAUCACCCUUAGGAUACCAUAGGCCUAUGUCCAUUGUCUCUUUCAAAUAUCUAAGAAUUCAUUUUACGGCACUUAAGUGAGAUUUUUUAGGACAAGAUUGAAAUCUAGCACACAAGCAUACACUAUACAUGAUGUCGGGUCUACUAGUGGUCAAAUAUAGCAAAGAACAUAUCAUGCCUCAAUACAUAGUUAAGUCAAUGGAUUUACCUUUCUCAUCCUUAUCAAGCUUGAUGGAUGAGCUCAUUGGAGUCUUCAUUGUUUUGGCUUCUUCCAUGUUGAACCUUUUGAGAAGAUCUCUUAUAUACUUUGCUUGAUUGAUGAAGGUUCAUUCCUUUAGUUGCUUGAUUUGAAGUCCAAGGAAGAAGUUGAGUUCUCCCAUCAUGCUCAUUUCGAACUCGCUAUGCAUGCAUUUAGAAAAUUCUUCACAAAGAGAGACAUUAGUAGCUCCAAAAAUGAUAUCAUCAACAUAUAUUUGCACUAAGAAUAUGUCAUUUUCUUUGGUCUUUAUGAAAAGAGUUGUGUCAAUUUUUCCCAUUUUAAAGCCCUUUUUCAAAAUAAAUUUACUCAAUCUUUCAUACCAUGCUCUAGGUGCUUGUUUCAAACCAUAAAGUGUCUUUUUAAGUUUAUAAACAUGAUUAGGAAAGUUAAAACUUUGAAAACUGGGUGGUUGUUCAACAUAUACUUCUUCAUUUAUAAAUCCAUUUAAGAAGACACUUUUCACAUCCAUUUGAUAUAAAACAAAGUCUUUAAAACAUGCAAAGACAAGUAGCAUCCUAAUGGCUUCCAAUCUAGCUACGAGAGCAAAGGUUCUUCAUAAUCUAUCUCUUCUUCUUGAUUAAAACCUUGGGCUACGAAUCUUGCUUUAUUUCUAACAAUUAUGUCAUUUUCAUCCAUGUUAUUUCUAAAGACCCAUCUAGUUCCAAUAACACUUUGAUUUGAAGGUCUUGACACUAAUUCCAUACUUCACUUCUUUCAAAUUGAUUUAACUCUUCUUGCAUAGCAAUCAUCCAAUUUUCAUCAACUAGAGCAUCAUUUAUAUUUUUAGGUUCAAUUUGAGAGAUAAAAACAAGAUUAUUGCAAAUAUUUCUAAGAGAUGAUCUAGUUUUUACCCCACUAGAUGGAUUACCUAUAAUUUGAUCUUGUGGGUGGUUGAUGACAAACUUCCAAUCUUUAGGAAGGUCUUGGCUUGAUUCACCUUGCACUUGUUGACGAGAGGGUAGUGCCAAUGGUGAUUCUUCUUUCUUGGGAUCCUCUCCAAUUUCUUCUUAUUGCCUUCUAUCCUCAAUUUGUAAUUUUCCCAUGGAGAUCUCCAAGCCUAAAUCAUCAUCAAAACUCUCUCUUACUUGAAGAGAAUUGUUAGAUUCAUAAAAAAUAACAUGGAUGGACUCCUCUACAACCAUGGUUCUUUUGUUAAAAACUCUAAAGGCUUUACUUGAAGUUGAGUAACCAAGAAAAAUUCCAACAUCCGAUUUUGCAUCAAAUUUUCCAAGAUUGUCUUUGAUGUUUAAUAUGAAACAUUUGCACCCAAAGACUUUGAAAUAACUAAUGUUGGGUUUCUUGUUUUUCCAAAGCUCAUAGGAAGUUUUCUUAAGAAUAGGCCUCAAUAAUAUUCUAUUUAAAACAUAACAAGAAGUGUUAACCGCUUCGGCCCAAAAAUAUUUUGGUAAAUUGUUUUCAUUUAGCAUAGUUCUAGCCAUUUCUUGAAGAGUUCUAUUUUUUCUUUCAACUACCCCAUUUUGUUGAGGAGUUCUAAGAGUUGAAAAAUUGUGGUUAAUGUCAUGCUCAUUGCAAUAGUCUUCAAAAUCAAUAUUUUCAAAUUCUCUCCCUUGAUCACUUCUUAUACAAGUAAUUGUAAAACCUUUUUCAUUUUGAACCUUGUUGCAAAAUUUUGUAAACUCAUAAAAGGCUUCAUUCUUUUGACUUAAAAAUAAGACCCAAGUGUAUCUAGAGAAGUCAUCCACAAUAACAUAUGCAUAAGAUUUUUCUCCAAGGCUUGGUGUCUUAGAGUGACCAAAUAAAUCCAUAUGCAACAACUCAAGAGGCCUAGUUGUUGAAAUGAAAUUUUUGUUUUUAAAAGAGUUUUUGAUUUGCUUUCCCAUUUGACAAGCUUCACAAACUGUCUUUUUGAAAAUUUAUUUUGGGAAGGCCUCUAACAAGUUCAUCUUUGUUGAGUUGGGAAAUGAGGUCCAUGUUAGCAUGUCCUAACCUCCUAUGCCACAAUCAACUUUGAUCAUGCAUGCUUGAAAAACAUCUAUCAUGACCAUCGUAUUUUGAAAUAUUUAUAGCAUAAACAUUAUCACAUUUAUGGCCCAUGAAGAUGGUUUUAUCAUUUUGAAUAUCUUUGAUGAUGCAAUGAGAUGCUUCAAAAAUCACUUUAAAACCUUUGUCACAAAGUUGACUAAUGCUUAAAAGAUUAUGUUUUAAACCAUCCACAAAUAAAACACUUUCAAUAAGAGAGGAUGUGUCAUUACCAAUGUUGCAUUGACCAAUGAUCCUUCCUUUUGCAUUGUCUCCAAAGUUAACGUAUCCUAACUUUCUCUUUGUAAGGAAAGCAAACUUGGAUUCAUCCCUGGUCAUGUGUCUUAAGCAUCCACUAUCCAAGAACCACUUAUCCUUCUUUGAACCCUACAAAAUAAAAUUCAAGUUGAUUUAGGUACUCAUAUCUUUUUGGGUCCUUGAGGGUUAGUGACCUUGGAUUUCUCAAUCCAAACCUUUUUAACUUUAACAUUUGAAUUCUUUUGAUAACCAUUUCUUAAGGGACGUGCUACUAAUGUGUCCUCCUCUUCCACAAAAGUUGCAAGUAGUAGAAGGACUUGCACUUGAGGAUUCUUUUACAAAAUAGUUUUUAAAAUACUUUUGAUUUUUUGAGGAUUUGAAUCCUAGCCCUUGUUUGUCAAUUUUUGGCUAGCUAAGAUCAUUUCAAACUAUUUUUGUCCACAAGAAAAAAUUGAAAAAGAUGAGGUCAACCAUUCAUUUUUAUUUUUCAAAAUCUCAUUUUCACUUAUCAAAAUCUCAAUUUUUUUUCAAGAUGAGUUUUAGAUAUUUCAACAAUUGAAAAUUUUUCUUUCACUUCUUCAAGUUCUUUUUCAAGUUUUUGAAUUUUCUUUUUAAGAGAAUUAUUUUUCAAACUAAGUUUUUCAAAAUCCUCUUAUAAUUCUUCAAAAACAGCAUGCAUGUCUUCAUCACUAAAGCUAGAGUUUACCUCAUUAAGAUCAUCUAUUGCCAUGAAGCACAUGUUUGCCACUUUUUUUCUCAUUUUCUUCUUCGGAGGAUUCUUCACUUUCACUCCAAGUGGCCAUCAUUGCCUUUUUCAUUCUUCUCUUGGCUUCACUUUUGUAGAGAGGACAAUCAUAUUUGAUGUGUCCCAAUCUUUUGCAUUUGAAACACACCAAAUCUCUUUUCUCUUCCCAUUUCUCCUUGUCACGAUGAGAUGAGGAUUCUUUUUUAGAAAGGUCUCUUCUAGAGGUAAAAUUUCUUCCUCUAAACCUUUCACUCCUCAUGUAUUUGUUAAGCUUUCUUAUGAUGAGGGCUAAAUCAUCAUCUUCCUCACUUGGUUUUUCUUCUUCAACAUCUUCUUCUUCCUUGGUUGUAGCUUUGAGAGCUAUGUUCUUCUUCGUUUUGUCUUCACCCUCUUGUAGCUUCUUUGCCAAGUUAAUCUCAUAUGUCAUCAAUGACCCUAUGAGUUCUUCCAUAGGUAGCUUAGUCAAGCCUUUUGCUUCUUGAAUUGCGGUGACCUUAGUAUGCCACUUUGAUGGGAGUGACUUCAAUAUCUUCAUCACCUUCUCAGAUUUCUUGUAGGUUUUUCCCAAAGCUUCAAGACCAUUGACAAUGUCAGUAAACCUAGUAAUCAUCUCAACAAUAGUCUCAUUUUCUUUCAUUGAAAACAAUUCAUAGUUAUGAACAAGUAAAUUAAUUUUGACUCUUUCACUUGAUUUGUUCUUUCAUGAGUUAUCUCAAGUAAUCUCCAAAUUUCUUUAGUUGAUUUGCAUUGACAUAUUCUAUUAUAUUCAUUUCUAUCCAUAGCACAUUGCAAAGUAAAAACAGCCUUAGCACAUUGCAAAGAUGCAUGAAACGGUAUGAAAAACCUAAGUGCACGCAUGCAUUCAUCUUACAUUUGUUUCCUAUGAUCAAAAUACUUCCAAAAGUCUCGAUCUUGUAUUCAUUUGGUCCUUUGAUGAAUUUCCGAAUUUAUACUUGAGAUUCUUUACCAUUCAAACCAAUUAGUCACUUAACCAUGGUUUGUUAUCAUCAAAACCCGAUUAGGAGAACCUUUGGGUUAACAAAGUCAAUAGAGCAUGGUUGAAUUACAUAAGAGGAAUCUAUUAAAAGGUGUGAAGUCAUAAAACUAGACUUCUAUGAAUUUUUUGUACUCAGAAAAGCAAUGUAAAGCUAGUUUUAAGUUCGCAUCCUAUAUGAGCUUAUGUAUUCUUAAUUAUGCUUAUAUGAUGUUUCACAUCUUAUUUUAGUUCCUUCCAUUGAUAGUGCAUAUUAUUUUGUUUGCUUCAUCGAUGACUAUUGCAUAAAAUUAUUGUUUAUUUAUGAAGCAUAAACUAAAGGUAUUUGGUAGAUUUAAGCAAUAGAAAAAGGAAGUUGAAAAUCGAUUGCAAUGUAUUUCACAUGUAAAAAAACUCCACAAAAUGGAUUAUCUCAAGGAAGGGAGAAAACAUUGUUGGAAUGCACUAAAUUUUAUGAGAUUGAACGUCAAUUAUGAGAGAAUUUUUAGGUAUAUAAAGGCUAUCAACAUAGCCUAUUAUAUAAUUAAUUAGUCUCCAUGUUCUACAAUUAAUUCAAGAUUUUAGGAAAAGAAUGAUCGAGUAAACCAAUUUAUUUUUUCAUUCUCAAAAUAUUUGGUCAUCUUACUUACAUCUAUUUGCAGAGUAAAGAAAAAUCAAAACUUGACUUGAAAUUGAGAAAAUGUAUAUUUCUUAGGUUUGAAAAAUGUAUUAAGGUUACAGACCUUAGAAUCCAACAACCAAUAAGAAAUUAAUAUAAUAUUUGAUGAAAAACAUAUGAUAAAAGAAAGAUACGUAAUAGAUGAAAUUGUUAGCAGAAGUUCUUAACCACAAAAAUAGAUCAUUAAGACGAAAUUUUAAGAAAUAAUUAAAGUCCAACUAUAGAUAGAAAAGAAAAUCAACAGGUGCAUAAAACUUUCUAGCCUAAUUAGAUGAUUCUUCCAUCAACACCAAAGAUAGAGAAAAAUACUUACAUAAAACCUAAAAAAUGUAUGGUUUUGAAUAUAUGAUUUAUUUUGGAUACAAAGGGAGAUUUCUUUUGCAUACUUCAAUUUUUUUUAGAACAUACGUUUAAUCCUAGAAUUACUUCUACCAAUAAAAUAAAACUCAACGACUAAAUCUCAUUUUACUUAUAAUUUACAAACUAAAAAAUUUUAGGUGAAACUAAUAAAAAAAUUAUUGAUUAAUUAAUUCUACUAUCAAACGAUCAACUAACUUCACAAAGUAAUUAAAUACAUUAAACAACAUUCAAAAUGUCAUAAUAAAUAUGAAGCAAAAAAACUCUAAAGUUCACUUUCUCUAAUUAUCUUUCUCUCUCAACUAAAUCUCAUUCUAAUGAUUAAUUUUUAAAAGAAUUAUUUUUGGCAAAAAUAAAAUAAAAUUAUUAAUUAAUUUCUAAUUUUAUUAUCAAACAACAUUCUAAGUUCGCAAAGUAAAUUAAAUGCUUAAAAAAUGUUACAUUUAAUUACAUAAAUUUUAUUGAUAGUAAGGCACAUCCAAGCUCUAAAGUUCACUAUUUUUAUUCCUUUUUCUUACCUUUGUUUCUCUCCACCUCUUUCCUUACCCCAAUUAUUUCCCCCUUCCUCUCUCUAAAUCAAGAGUUCUCCAAAGAGUAAAAUCAUUUAGACAUUAGUUAAUGAAGGAUGUUAAUGUUGAAAAUGUAUCUUUAAUCCUUUUUAAGCUAAAUGAAAAUACCAACGAAAAGUUCAACUCAUCUAUGCUUAGAAUCCCUUGUAAUUAUGACUAUUUUACCUUAUGGUUUUAAGUGAGUAAGUGAGCAUGCAAAUGCCUAAGAAUAUUUAGCACAUAUUGCAAUAAAGUGUUUAGAAUAAUUUAUUUGGCAUUUGGAUAAACUUCCUAAUUUUUAUUUUUAAAAAUAGAAACUUUGAUAUAAAAUAUGAGGACUCUUUUUCAAAAAGAAGGAAUUUACCUUGUGCUUAAAAACUCUUUUCAAAAUAUAAAAACUUAUGGAAGUAAAUAUUUAUUACCCCUUUAAAUUUUAAAAAUUGUUUUUAAGUAUACAAGGUAUGUGCUUAAAAAUUCCUAUAUUUUGUGUAAAACUUUCUAUUUUUAAAAACAAAAAUUAGGAAAUGUGUUCAAACAUACACUAACCAAGUAGGCAUAGAAGAUUAAUUAAAUAAUUACUUAACGAAAAAUUAACACAAAUAAUUUAUUAACUAAUUAAAUUAAAAUACAAAAAUGAAGGUCAUUAUUGUUGAGGUUGGAAUAGAAUACUUUGUUAUAAUAGAGUAACAUCUCAACUAAAUACGAUCAAACAAAUAAUAUCUUUAAAUGAAGGAAAAAAUUAAACUUUAAUUUGUUGAGCUAUGGUUUCGAUUAGUCAAAUUGAAAUUUGUUUGAGAAAGGGAAAGUGAUUCGCGUUAAACUCCAGUCGGGUCAUUUAAUAAAAAACAUUUAUAAAACCUAUGACCUCAUACUAGCGUAGCAAAGCUACUAUAGCAUAGUGGCUCUAGGGUCGAACUCUGGGAUGGGUUUUCAUUCUACCAGUGAUAUACUCAAGAUUAGAAAUUGAAUUUAAUGAUUUCCUUUAUCAAAAACUUAAAGUUUAAAAAAAAAUAAAAUUUGUUUUGAAAGUGUUUGAAACUAAACUAGCAUAAACUAAGUAAAAAUGGAAGAAAGAAAGUCUCCCGGAGCUAGAGGUUGCUAGGAUCAAGUUCAGAAUGCAAAGUGGAAAAUUCCGGAUUUUUCUCCUCACAUUGGGGAUUUAACCUAUAGUUAUUUCCCGAACUGGUAUAGGUUUAACAAUGAAGAUUUAAUCCAUAAAAAGUCAAUAAAAAUGGUAGUCAAGGUCCAUUAAUGGCUUUAAACACUAUGGGUCUUCACUUUGAGUCACUUUCCAAUGGCUCGUACAUGAUAACUAAUGGAUUGAUAUGGAUCUAGCAAUAAGCAUCCACAGAGACCUGAAGCUUACCAUGUAUUGGCCAUUCAAAGUGAUUCUAAGGGAUUUAAAACAAAACUUUGGAUUUAGAAGCCAUUUAUGAACUCCAACUACCUGUAUUUAAUGCACGGAAGUUUUCCACCUUUGCAUCUAGACUUUUCACCUAGCUUCCUUCACUCCAAGAAACCAAAAGUUUAGCCUCUCAUCCUCCGGGAAAACAUCCUUAGAGGUUGUUUGGCUUCCAAGAAAAAGAAAAUAGUAAAGAGAAAAGGGAAACGAGAGAGCUCUGUAUUUCACUAAGUGUAAAAUGUAACAUAUAUGUUAGUUGUUUCCAAGAGGUGAUUUCCACCCCUUAUAUAAUCUUUACAAAAGCAAAAACUUGUGAUUGGUUAGUUAUGAGGAUAAGAAAGGAAAUUACAUCAAAAAAUACAUAGGAAAAGAUCUAAAGUGGAGUCGGCAAAAACAGAGGAAAAUUCGCACCACGCAUGGGCUGUGCGAAUUUGGAAGGUGUUGUGCGAAUUUCGCACAAGCUUCGCACAAGCUGAAGGUGUUGUGCGAAUUUCAAGGUGUUGUGCGAAUUUCGCACAAGCCUGGAGCAGUUGUCUUCCGAAGGCCAUAUCUUCCUCAUUUCACCUCCAAAUCAUACACGGUUUGAAGCGUUGGAUUCUUGACUUCCUGAGCUUUGAAAUGGUAUAUAACAUAUAGAAAAUGGACUUCGGGAAGUGCUCCAAAAGUGCAAAGGAAGACUGCAGCUACUGUCCUCUAUUUUCUUCACUUUGCUUGUUUUUCCUCUUUGCUUCUCUCAUUUACUUGGCUUGUCUUAAUGAUCCAAAAAGCUGUCAAAACACUAAAACUAGCCACAAAUAUUAUUAGAAGUCAUUGCUAGGUCCUUAACAUGCCAAUUGGGAUGAAGAUGGAGAACUACUACACAAAAGUGCUUAAAAUAUAAUGAAUUAAAGGUGUAAAAUAGCACUUUUUUUGGGUAGUAAUUCACUUUUUUUGGAUCCUUAAGACAAGCCCAAGUAAAAGAAAAAAAGCAAAGGAGGAAAAANNNNNNNNNNNNNNNNNNNNNNNNNNNNNNNNNNNNNNNNNNNNNNNNNNNNNNNNNNNNNNNNNNNNNNNNNNNNNNNNNNNNNNNNNNNNNNNNNNNNAUGGAGAACUACUACACAAAAGUGCUUAAAAUAUAAUGAAUUAAAGGUGUAAAAUAGCACUUUUUGGGUAGUAAUCACUUUUUGGAUCAUUAAGACAAGCCAAGUAAAGGAGAGAAGCAAAGAGGAAAAACAAACAAAGUGAAGAAAAUAGAGGACAGCAGCUGCAGUCUUCCUUUGCACUUUUGGAGCACUUCCCGAAGUCCAUUUUCUACAUGCUAUAUACCAUUUCAAAGCUCAGGAAGUCAAGAAUCUAACGCUUUAAACCGUGUACGAUUUGGAGGUGAAAUGAGGAAGAUAUGGCCUUUGGAAGACAACUGCUCCAGGCUUAUGCGAAAUUCGCACAACACCUUCAGCUUGUGCGAAAUUCGCACAACACCUUUCAAAUUCGCACAGCCCAUGCGUGGUGCGAAUUUUCCUCUGUUUUUUCCCACUCCACUUUAGAUCUUUUCCUAUGUAUUUUUUGAUGUAAUUUCCUUUCUUAUCCUUGUAACUAACCAAUCACAAGCUUUUGCUUUUGUAAAGACUAUAUAAGGGGUGGAAAUCACCUCUUGGAAACAAUUAACAUAUAUGUUACAUUUUACACUUAGUGAAAUACAGAGCUCUCUCGUUUCCCUUUUCUCUUUACUAUUUUCUUUUUCUUGGAAGCCAAACAACCUCUGAGGAUGUUUUCCCGGAGGAUGAGAGGCUAAACUUUUGGUUUCUUGGAGUGAAGGAAGCUAGGUGAAAAGUCUAGAUGCAAAGGUGGAAAACUCCCGUGCAUUAAAUAUAGGUAGUUGGAGUUCAUAAAUGGCUUCUAAAUCCAAAGUUUUGCUUUAAAUCCCUUAGAAUCAUUUUGAAUGGCCAAUACAUGGUAAGCUUCAGGUCUCUGUGGAUGCUUAUUGGUAGAUCCAUAUCAGUCCAUUAGUUAUCAUGUACGAGCCAUUGGAAAGUGACUCAAGGUGAAAACCCAUAGUGUCUAAAGCCAUUAAUGGACCUUGACUACCAUUUCUAUUGACUUUUUAUGGAGUAAAUCUUCAUUGUUAAAUCUAUACCGGUUCGGGAAAUAACUAUAGGUUAAAUCCCCAAUGCGAGGAGAAAAAUCCGGAAUUUUCCACUUUGCAUUCUGAACUUGAUCCUAGCAACCUCUAGCUCCAGGAAACUUUCUUUCUUCCAUUUUUACUUAGUUUAUGCUAGUUUAGUUUCAAACACUUUCAAAACAAAUUUUAUUUUCUUUUAAACUUUAAGUUUUUGAUAAAGGAAAUCAUUAAAUUCAAUUUCUAAUCUUGAGUAUAUCACUGGUAGAAUGAAAACUCAUCCCAGAGUUCGACCCUAGAGCCACUAUGCUAUAGUAGCUUUGCUACGCUAGUAUGAGGUCAUAGGUUUUAUAAAUGUUUUUGAUUAAAUGACCCGACUGGAGUUUAACGCGAAUGAAAAUGGCGCCGUUGCCGGGGAUGGUGCCACAAUAUAGUGAUACAACCUUUUAGAGGUUACUUGUGAUUUUCAUCACAAGUUUGGUGAAUUCCUUUUUCACUAACUUCAUUUCCUUUCUUUUAAUUGUAGAUUUCCUUUUGUUUUCUUUCUAACCUUAACUUUUUUCUAGUUUUCUUUUGUUUUUGUUGUCUUUGUUUUGUUUUCAGGUAAGUUGUAACUUGUGCAUGCCCUAUUGGAUUCGGGACCAAGAGGGAAGAUUAGUAAGGAUUGAGAAUCCUCAAGACACAGAGUUGUAUAUCUGUGUAAACAUCAUGGACCCUCCACAAGAGGAUCAG
rnacentral:lncRNA from 1 species